CAGCUAGCACAAACCUGCCGAAACAAAUCAGCAAAUUUACGCCACCCACUUCUUGGCGGUGACCUCAGCCAGGUCGACCACGCGCUGGGAGUAGCCCCACUCGUUGUCGUACCAGGCCACGACCUUGACCAUGUCGUCGCCCAUGACCAUGGUCAGGGAGGCGUCGAUGGAGGUCGACUGGUCGGUGCACUUGAAGUCAAUGGACACCAGGGGGGCGUCCUCGACGUGCAGCACGCCCUUCAUGGGGCCGUUGGCGGCCUCGCGGAAGGCGGCGUUCACCUCCUCGGCGAAGGUCUUCUUCUCAACCUGUGGUUGAGCGGGAGCGCAGGACAGGACAGGAGGGUGGGUCAGUGACAGCCUCAAGACAAGUUACUGAGGCGUGCAGCAUGCCACCGGCAACACGAAAUAUACAAGAAUUCGGUAAGCGGCGCCCACUGUCCAGGUGUAGUUGUUACAGCGCAAGGGGAGGCAGUCUCACCUGGACGACCAGGUCGACGACCGACACGGUGGGGGUGGGCACGCGCAGGGCAAUGCCGUUCAGCUUGCCCUUCAGGCUGGGCAGCACCAGCGACACGGCCUUGGCGGCACCGGUGGUGGUGGGCACAAUGUUCAGGGCGGCGGCGCGGGCGCGGCGCAGGUCGCGGUGGGACGCGUCCAGCAGGCGCUGGUCACCGGUGUAGGAGUGGGUGGUGGUCAUCGUGCCCUUGACAAUGCCGAACUUCUGCUCCAGCACCUGGGGUAGGCAAGGGAGAGGGGAAAGGGGAAGGGCCGGGUCAGAGACAGGUGAGCUGACAAGACAAGAUAUCCCAGGGCACUCGGACCCGCAACACCGUGGACGCUCUUGCCGCCCCCCGCAUUUAUUCCUGACGAAAAAGCCACAGCAAGCAACAUGCGUAAGCUUCCUUACCUUGACGAAGGGGGCCAGGCAGUUGGUGGUGCACGAGGCGUUGGAGAUGAUGGGGUACUCGUGCUUGUAGUCGCCCUCGUUCACACCGACCACGAAGGUGGGGAUGUCCUUGUCCUUGGCGGGGGCGGUGAUCAGCACCUUGGAGGCACCGGCCUAUAGAUGUGUGGGGCAAGGCAGGGGGGUCAUGUCAGCAGGGGGAACGAGCUCAAUGGGCGAGCGAGCGCCGUUACUCGUAACGCCAACACCCCCCCACUUGCUAGCGAGCAGUGCCGACCCAAAACGUGCACACCCAAAACCCCCGUCGCUUCCCGGCCCAGAGAUGCGCUUUAAUUGCGGCAUGCUCACCUGGAUGUGCUUGCCAGCGCCAACCUUGUCAAUGAAGACACCAGUGCCCUCAAUGACCAGGUCGAUGUUCAUCUCCUUCCAGGGCAGCUGCAGGGGGUCGCGGCUGGACACAAUCUUGAUCUGCUUGCCGUCCACCGAGAUGUGGCUGUCGUCGACGAUCUUAACAUCGGCGGCGAACGUGCCCAGGGUGGAGUCGUACUUCAGCAGGUGGCUGGCCUGCUUGACACCGCCGCUGUCGUUGAUGGCAACCACGUCCAGCAGGGUGUUCUGGCGACCGUGCCAGCAGCGCAGGAAGUUGCGGCCAAUGCGACCGAAGCCGUUGAUGGCCACGCGGAUCUUCUUCUCCGCGCGCACGUCGACGACGGCGCGGGCAGCCUGCGAGCGCGAUGCAAGAGAGUAGGAUCGGUGAACGUUGACCUGGCAACCCAACUAUCUUAUUUAUCAACUGAUCACACACGUAGCAGAAGCCCGCCGAAGACCCAGCGAGUGCUGGGCUGUGCGACCCAAGAACCCAAGUCCGCAAGCAAAAGCCGAGCCAUGCCCACCUUGGCGCGGACGCCAGACUUGGAGGACACGGCGCUGCCGGUGAAGGCGCUCUGCAAGCGCAAGAAACAAACAGGCGCGGUCAGGACUAGAAGAAAGAGGCGCCUGAGGCGCUUGGGUCGGGAUCACAUCUGGAAGUUCUGGGUGACAAGUCGCUGGUCUUUGGAUAUGUAUUGCUGUUCGGUAUUGAGUGCACUGCGCACCUUCUGCAUCAUGGCGGCCAUUUUGGACAGGACCCGUAAGAGUACCGAGCUUGCUGAGCCCGCGUUGCUUUUAGCCGGUCGGCUCGGCUCGCUCGGUGCCGUACGGGUGGCGACCCAUGCAGCCUUAUCGGCGUCGUACCUCGCGUUCGCCGCUGAACGAGCGCGCGGUGCCCCCUGGAUGAUGCUUGUAAAUCUAGACCCACUCACUGCGACGCGCGCGGGGGUGCGCGGGAGCGACCGGCGCGCGGGGAAGCCCCGGCAUUCUAGUCAAGUUUUGCGGGACUCGCGGCCGACCGCAUUUUAACCAUGGCAAUGACUUAUUGAUGCGAUAGGAGAAACAUCAAAAUUUUCUCUAGGGGUCGACGAGCGCUGCGCGCACGCUGGUGCUUGCACUCAGCUCGAGAACCCGCGACACUCGCGAAAGCCACGCUUUAUUCUUUAUCAUGCUUUCUUCUAUUGCUGCGUAAGUAUUCUACUCCCGGCAAGCCUGGGAAGCAUGCAAGGCAGUCAGGGCUUUCGCGUUCGCGUGGACACGACGCUGUAAGGCGCGAAAUAUACAUCUCACUCAGAAAAGAAUGCGGGGACUGUCCGUUCUAAAGGAGCGCUGGCGGCGUGAGAAGCGACCGCGAGUGCCCAUCGUGCAACAUCUCUAAGGAGCGCUUGGGGAGACACGCCGUGCUGUGGACUUGACCGGGCACACGACGGGUGUUCAGGGCGUGCAAAGACAUCGCGAACUGAUCUUGGGAACUGCGUGACCUUUCGCCUAUCAUGGUGCGGCCAGCGUGGAAGGGCGGGACGCGCCGUGUCGGCCCGACAACGCCGGGACACGCCGCUACUUGUUGUCAGGGUGGGAGCGCUUGCACUGGGCGUCCGUAGAGGUGCAUCUGACAGGUAGCCGCCAGACGUCGGGGUGCAUGCGUAGGGGCAGUGAGGGCUCCAGGGCGUGGCUCCAGGGUGUGGCGGUGCAAAGCGCUCGCGGGCGGCUCGCGUACCACGGUGCUGCUCAAGCCCGUAUCUUGGGAUGACAAAGGCAACGGAUGACGGCGACAGUUGGGUGACAUCAGCGGGCCAUGCGGUGGACUGUUGGUGGACGUGACGCCAUGCGGCUAAAGACGGUGGGGCAAAACAUGUGGGUGCCCAAAUGCUGUACAGCAGGGGGCUGUUGUACAUAGCACUGCAUAGCAGAACUGCCUUGCAGGGGGUUGCUACUUGUCCUUGGUUCUCAUGGGAUGGUGCAAGCAACUGCCCUCUGCCCCCACAACAGCAGCUUGCAAUCAGGCGCAGCCGCGCGCGGCAGGGCUGCUGGGCAUCCAGUCACGCAGCCGCACCCCCGGUCCUGCCUGGUCACAUCCGCCUGCCUAGCCGGCUUCCCAGGCGUUGCCCGCUCGGUCGCGUGGGGGCUUAUGGGCGUGAAGGAGGGCAACUGUGUGACGCGGCUGAGUUAACAGCUCGACAUGCAGUGGCGGGAAGCCCCCAUGAAGGCGCCAGCGCGUGGUGGGCUGCAGCCUUCUCCAGGGGAGGCCCUGCCUCCCAAGUGGCUGCGUGCGGUCGCCACCGCCCCAAGCUGCCACCAGUGCUCGUAUCUUGUAGAUGCCCUCAGGCACCCGGCAUCUACACAUGCGUAGAUGACCCUGACCGCGGCAUCUACACUUAAGCCCCCAAGCCCCCCAAAACGUCUACGCUUCCCCCAUUUUUGCGCCAAAACCGGCCAAAACUGUCUACACUGCGUAGAUGCGUGGCACCCAAACCCAAAAAUUUUUCUCCGCCUUCGGCGGAUUUUGGGCAGAUUUCUACAGUGUAGAUGGAAGAUACGAGCACUGGCUGCCACCUGCAUAAUCCUGUGCGCCCGCGAAGGGGCAUCAUGGUCUUGCAGCUGGUAGCAACGGGGAUGGGCACGCGACCCACGAGCGCGGAGGCUGCAGCGCACGGCGCCCCCGGUGCACCCGUGCUGGGCGCGAGCUUCUCCUAAGCCACGGUGUUGAAGCACAUGACUUGUGGCCUUGAGAACGCAUACAGCUGGAAUUGCCACGGAUGCGGCGACAUUGGGACUUGCCAGGUCAGCCAGGUCCAGGGGGGCUCCCUGGCCAGGUCAGCCCUGUCCAGCCCUUGCGUUACUGCGGUCCCCGCCUUCUCGGGUGCGUCCGUGCUCCAUGGACCUGCUGUCGCAUGUGCGAUUGUUUGGAAGGGCAAUUGCACAGCAGAGCGGCGGUGCGUCGGGGGGUGGGGUGGGAGCGGGGGGGCCGGGGGGGGGGGGGGGCUGGGCCGGGGCUGCGCUGGCACCGGAGUCCUGCACCGGGCCUGGGAUGAUCAUGUGCGCCCAUUCUGGAAGCCUAGCGCCACCGCGCCUGCUACAGUGUUUCGCACAAUCACAUCAGCAGCGAUAACUCUGACCCAAUCUCUCUCUGAAGCUAGCUAGCCCACGCGCUCACUCAGUAAGCUCUGUGAACUCUAAACCGUGCCUCCACGAAAAGGUUGUGCCUUUGGAAUGUUAUACCAACGUAUAGCAACGGAUGCGGACAGUAUAGAGUUGCAGCGCUGGUAAAGACGGUGGAGAACAAUGGGAAGUGCAUGCACAAAAGCAGGCCGGGAGGAAGCUGCCUUCCUCAAGGCGGCAAAGGAUGGUGACUGUGGACAAGUACAGCAGGUGCAGCGGGGCGGUGUCGCGGGAAGCACGUAAUUGAAUGCCGUUCAUGUAGCAGCGCGCUUGCGGAUGCGAUGAGUGGCUAGCUUCAUUUCAUAUUGCACAUUUCUACACCCCAACUCGCGCGGGGGGCGUUCGCAGAGGCCAGAACUUUAACCACCGCAUCAUGCUGGGCUGCCUCUCGCAGGCCAUCCUAAAGCACGUGGACUGGGGCUACAGGGCCCAGACGUGGAAUGGACAGAGCGUCUUCCACCUGGCAGCGCGCUAUGGGCGAGUGGACGUAUUGGAGACGGUGGUGGAGGCGGUCCGGUAUAAUCCCGCUGGACCGGACCAGUGGAAGAAGCUGCUACGGUGCGUUUUGGAAGUGCGAAGCGGGGAGGGACGACGAUGUUUAGCGUGGCGGGGCUCGGCAAGCGCAGGAGCCCGGGCGGGCCCGGGGGGCGAAGCGCGUGUGCGUGUGCAGGGUUUCGUGGGCAGGUUGGGCCGUACCUGGUUGCGCGUUCGUAGUUUUUUCCUGGGAGCGCGGAGUACGGCCCAGUAGAGCACCCCUCGCCCAGCCACACAGCGCCUGGCGCAAUCGCGAGCGGCUCGUGAGGCGAGCUUGCACGAACGGCGCUGCGCGCCUGCGGGGCCUGGGGUCGGGGUGGCGAAGGGAUGAAGGAUUUUGGAGAGAGGGGCGUGGCCAGCAGCCGGCCGGCACGGGGCAAGGGUGCCGCGGCCCAACCAGCCUCCAGAGGUUUGAUGUGGGUCGGGUCUGAAGCUGCACGCAGAUGCCGUGCUGUGUUCGGAGAUUGCGCAGCUAACGGGGUUGGCUAGAAGGAAAGGCAGGCAGUGCAAAGGCGGGUUGAGUGGGGGCGCCGCGCAGCAUGUUGGAAGGCGCCUGGGGGCUGACACACGGGCGCGAAUCUGAGGGGGCUGACGGAGCGGGUUGGCAGGGGGCUGUGGGGUAGGGGUGCCGGGCUGCGGGUGUCGCCGUGUCAGGUGGCAUGCGUGUGUGUGUGUGUGCCUGAUGCGUGGUCCAGCACCCGUGGUCCGCCGUGUGGCGCCGCGGCGCCGCCUGAGCUGUCCUCGCGGCCAGGCGGCCGGCACUUGUGUGCGUGUGUGUGUGGUGUGUGUGUGUGUGUGGGGGGGGGCUUGGCAGGAACCUAGGGCUCCAGUAGGCAUGAGAAUGAGCGCGCAUGGGGCGGCGCUCUCACGGCCGUCCCCCCGCCGCCCCCACAUCCCCGCACCCAAUCCCCACCCCAACCCCCUCCCCCACCGCAGGAUGGGCCACUCCACGGACGCCAUUCUGAAGGCCUACGCCAACCUGCAGGUGCGCGCGCGCGCGCGUGUGUGUGUGUGUGUGUGUGUGUGUGUGUGUGUGUGUGUGUGUGUGUGUGUGUGUGUGUGUGUGUGUGUGUGUGUGUGUGUGUGUGUGUGUGUGUGUGUGUGUGUACAAGCGUGGCACGGCGCUGUGUUAGGACACGAGGAACGGUGCCGUGUGUGCGUUGUGGGUGUCGGGCCGGGAAACAGACCGCGCCAUCAUGUGUUGGAAAAGCAUAAAAAGGGGCAGGGUCGGCAUUGUGCAGGCGAAUGUGCAAGCAAAGCGGGGGUAUCUUUACGAGUGUCCGUUCGUGGUGGGCUCUGGGCACGUGUGGGGCUGGCGCCGCGAACACUGCUGGCAGUGCGCCCUGUGAUGCCAGGGGCCGGGCGGCUGGCGGCGCUGUCGGCCUUGAGGGCUUAGCUCCUAGCUAUGUCCUCCCCGUCCUCCCGUUGUCUUGAGCCUUUGCCGUGUGGUCCGCUCCGCCUUCUCGCUCCACCGACCCAUCCUCUCCCGACUCCUCUGCGGUCGGUCAGUCAUUCAUGCUUAGAGCGCCUCCCGUCCCUGCCUGUUCUACCUCCCUGCCUUCCUACCGGCUCCCCUCCCCGCCUCCCCACCGCCUCCCUGCCUCCCCACCACUUCCCUCCCCACCACUUCCCUCCCCAUCACGUCCCCCCAUGCCCCCCCCGUCCCCCUGUCCCCCUGUCCCCCUGUCCCCCCCCCACCCAGGACGCCCGCUGCCAGACGCCGCUGCACAUCGCCUGCAUCUACGGCAAUGCUGACGUGGCGGCGGCGCUCAUCAAGCUGGGCGCCAUGCCCUGGGCCUGGGACGAGCUGGGUGAGGGCGUGGUGGAGGGAAGGGUGGGGGGGGGGGGGAAAGAGAGAGAGAAAAGGGAAGAGGGGAGUGGCAAGGUUAAGACAUUUGGGGGGAGGGGUAGCCGGUCAUGUGGAGAACGGGGUGGUUACAUCACAAGCCGACAUCCGUAGGGAGUCGAGAGUCUGGACACCCGACCCGGCCCCGCCCACAACCCACCCGCCCCUCCCCCCAGUGUUUUGACAUUGCAACUCCCUCUUCGCUACACUUCUCUGCACCAAUCCUUGCACCGGGAAGGGGUGGGGGAGAGUGAAGAGGGGGUCGCAAAGAUGGUUGGGGUGUAGCCGGUCAUGUGAAGAAACGGAAUGAGGUAAAGCAGUAUGCUGACGUCCGGAGGCUGGAGACCCGACCCGACCCUCCCACAUCCCACCACCUGCCCCCGUCUACCACUUCCUUAACUAGUCAUGCAUGUAACACCCCCCUCCCCCCAGGCGGCCGCACUCCGCUGCACUACGCCGCCAGCAUGGGCCACGUGGACGUCAUCCGGGCGGUGCUGGCCGCAGCCGGCCCCCCGCCCAGCGGCGAGGCGCUGCGGCGGCCCAACACCAGCCGGACCAAGUGAGGGAACCGGGGGAGGGAGGGAAGGAGGAUUUGGGAAAGGAGGGCGGAUUUGGGGUGGCAGGUGCCUGGGGCCGGGGAUGGGGGCGGGGGCGGGGGCGGGGGCGGGGACGGGGGGCGGGGUGGGGGGCGGGGAACUGGAUGUGGGCGCAUGGGGCGUGCGGCGGGGGAUGGGGGCCGGGGCUUGGGUGUGCUGUCCCUGACAUGUACACACACGCGGUCUGCAAACACAAACACACGAACACGCAUUGUGCUAUCCUAACACACAAACGCACACACUGCGCGCACACACAGGCUGGUGGACAUCUGCAACGACUCGGGCUACACGCCGCUGCACUACGCGGUGAGGGUGGGGUGGGUGUGGGGAGUGGGGUGGUGGGGUGGGUGGGGUGCAAUCCCAAAGAAACCAAGACCCAGAACCAGCCCUGGGGGUGGAGUGGGAGUGGGAGUGGGGCCGCACGGGCAGCUGUUACAGGGGGCAGGGUAGCGGGUGUGUGUAGCCCGCUUGGAUCGAUGGGCCCAAGAAUCCAAGGUGGGCAGAGGUGGCGAGGCGUUAGCCAUGAGCACCCCGCAAACUCAGCACAACCCGCCCACCCAUCCUCCCACCCCCUCUACCACUUCCUUAACUAGUCAUGAAUGUAACCCCCUCUUUAAUACACACCGUCGGCAUGAAUAGCUACCCCAUAACCAGUCGUGCACGCCCCCCACCCCUCCCGCCCUCCCCACUCCCAUUACCCGCACCCUCCCGCUCCCCCCCUCCUGCUCCCCCCUCUCCCCCCCCAAAAAGGUGUGGGCCGGCAACACCGCCUCCAUCCGCGCGCUGGUGAGCUACGAGGCGUCGCUGUCGGCUCGCAACGUGGCGUGCGGCAGCGACUGGGUGGUGUCGGCGCUCAAGUGCACGCCGCUGCACCUGGCGGCGCACAAGGGCAACGCGGCCGUGGUGAAGCUGCUGCUCAGCGCCUACGUGAGUGUUGGUGUGGAGGCGGGGGUGGGGUGGAGGGGGUGAGGGGGUGAGGGGGUGGAGGGGUGGGGAUGGGGGGGGGGUGUUCAGGGGGAUGGAGGGGGGGGGUUGGGGUGGAGGGGUGGAGGGGUGGAGGGGGGGUUUAGGCGUGGGGUUGAGGGGUUAGGGGUGGGGGCGGGGGUGGGGUUGUUAAGGGAUAGCGCUAGGGAGGAUUCACGCAGGGCAGGGCAGGUGGCUUGUGUUGUGGAGGGAGAGUCAGCUGCACGGUAUUUCCAAGUCGAGGCCCAGAACCGGAAACCACUCGCAAGCUUCGUCUGCGUCGUCACCAGUACCAGUUGCCUGACUCAGCCAUCCCCACAACCCCGUCCAUCCGCCCCCGCAGGUCCAGAGCCAGGUGCCGCAGGGCUCCGAGCCGCCGCCCGUGCACGACCGCCGCCGCCGCGACCCGCGCCGCCACGUCAACGCCGCCCGCCAACUGCCGUACCACGUGGCGGUUGCGCGCGGCCACAACCACCUGGCCGAGCUGCUACACCCCGACGUGCCGUUCAGUUUUAUUCUGUCGCCCGCCGAGAUGGAGAGUACGGCAAGGCUGUACGGCGUCACGAAACUUGCCGUACUGGCGGCCAAGGUCCUGCAGGCCAAGCUGGUGUCGGACAUUGACGAGGCGCUGGCGGCGCUGGCGGCGGCGCCGGGCCGCGGCGGCGGCGGCGCCGGCAGCGCCGCUGCCGCCGGUGGCGGAGGCCUCGGUGGCGGCGGCGGCGGCGGCACGUUCUCUCGGGCGCGGUCUGGGAGCAUAGCGGCGCUGAGCGGCGCGGUGGCGGCGGCGGCGGCGGCGUCCAUGCGCGAGCGGUCCGUGCAUGGCUCCGUGCACGGCGGCGGCGGCGCGCUGGGGGCGCUGGCCGGCGGCGUCGGCGGCGGAGGCGUGCCGACGGCAGCGGCGCUGGCGGCGGCGGCCUCCGCCAGCCUGGACGCAGUGCUGGCGGCGUCGGCGGCGGCCGCCGGCAAGGAUCCGGCACGGAUCCUGGCGGCGCGCGCGUCACAGGAGAAUGCUGCCGCCGCCGGCGGCUCGCCGGCCACCGCCAUAGCCGUCAGCCCGGUCGCGACCGCCAUGGCGGCGGUCACAGGCGCCGGCGCGGCGGCGGCGGCGGCGGCGGCGGAGGCCAACGGCCAAGGCGGCGGCGGCGGCGGCGGCGUGAAGGGGGCGUCUGGGACGUCGUCGUCUCCGCCGUCGGCUGGGUCGUCGGGGGAUGCGGACCCGCUGACUGUGGAGCCCAUGCCGGUGCGUGGGGGCGGGCGUGGGGGCGGGUGCAUGGGGGUGCGGGAGAAGGAGUGGGUGCGGGUGCGGGGGCUGGCGGUUUGCGCCCUUCCCAUGAGGACUGAGCAUGGGUGGGGUCGGGUGCGGGCGUUGGGGCUGCCCAGCCAUGGGCGGUGUUGCGUUUGGGAUUGGGAGCUGGGCGCUUGCGCCGUGUGCUGGGACUGUGGGUUCCGCCUGUGCUGAGCCGUUUGCCGGCAGCUCCGCAGCUCCGGCAACGCCACCACCGGACCGUGUACGCACCACCACCACCGCCUGCUCCCGCGCACCACUGACCCCUCCUCCUCGUGCGGGCGCCGCUCACUGACGUCACACGCACACACCACUGACCCCUCCUCUGACGCCCCCCGCACACACAGGACGCCAUCGCGCGCGCCCGCGCCUCCGGCGAGCCCCUGGGUGCCGCCGCCGCCGCCGCCGCCGCCGCUACCGGCAUCAGCGCCCAACCGUCGCUGGGCCAGCCCGGCGCAAGUGCAAGUGCAGCAGCACUGCACAGCCCCGGUGCUACCAGCCCCGCCGGCGGCGCGCAGGCGGCGCCGCUGCCGCUGCCGCCCGCGCCCCUGUCGCCGUUCCUGCCGGCGGCUGGCGCCGCCGGCGGCCUUUCGGCUCCCACCUUCAACGACGGCGCCUCCGCCUUCGCCAUGUUUGCCGCGGAGCCCUUCGACGACCCGGCUGCCGCCAAGGCGGCGGCGGCGGCGGCCGCCGCCGCCGGCCAGACGCCGCCGCUGGCGGCGGCGGCCGCUGCGCCGCCGCCGCCGCCGGGCACUGGGCCGCUGCCGCUGCCGCCCGCUGGCAGCCUGGCGUCGGCGCAGCGCAACCGGGCGCAGGUGGUUGCGGCGGGCGGCGGCGGCGGGAGUCCCGACCCGUCGGCCUCGGCGGCGGCCGGCGCGCGGCGGAGCCGGCUGCUGGGCGGUGGCGGCGGUGGCGGCGCCGCCGCCGCAGCAGGCGCCAACGGCGUCGCUGCCAAGGUGCGCGAGAGCGUGUGCUUUCUUUUCGGCGCCUGGGGUCGGGCAGGUUGUGGUUCGAGUCAGGGUAAUUUGGGCAAGCAGGGGGGCACCCCGUCCCACCCUCCGAAUGCGGGUCGGUAGUCGCAUGCAUGAUACGGUAAAGGUCCCUUGAUGGAGUUUUCCCGACCCGCUCAUUACGCAUGUGCCCAUGUACCCCGUGGGCCGCACCGCACGCAGGCGCCCGGCCGCUCCCGCAGCCUGCGUAGCCUGCUCACGGGCGGCCGCCAGCGCCGCGCCGGGCCGGGGCUGGGCACGGUUGGCAGCGGCCGCGUCGGCGGCGGCGGCGGCGGCGAGAUGGGCAUUGCGUCGGACCAGGUGGGGAGGGUUCGUGGGAUUCAGCAGGGCUGCCGAGGGGGUUUUGUUGUGUUUUGUUGGGGGCGGGGCGGGGCGAGGCGGGGCGGGGCGGGGCGGGGCGGGGCGGGGCUGGGCUGGGCUGGGCGGGGCGGGGCGGGGCGAGGCGAGUGGCAGGAGCAGGGUUUCGUGUGUGCCCUUUUUGACACUACGAUGUCAUCUGACACUUAUAACUUCGCUGACGUGGUCACAGGACCUGGAGGACGCGGACGAGCUGGAGGACAUCCUGUUCGCCAUCCAGCCACACGACCAGGCAGAGGCAGCCGCCGCCGCAACCGCCGCCGCCGCCGCCGCCGCCGCCGCCGCGGGCGCCGCCACGCCAAGCGCCGCGCCGGCCCUGGCCCCCGGCCCGGUGCCGCAGAAUCCGGAGGGCUCGGUUGCUGGCGGCGGCGGCGGUGGCGGCGGCGGCGGUCUGUGGGGCCGCCGCCGGACCGGCGUGGCGCCGUCGACAGGCGGCGGCGCCGGCACGGAAGCCGCGCUUCUAGCCGAGGCCUCCCGUAGCGGCCGCGGCGUGCGACAGCCCCACCCAGGCGCCGCGCCGGACUCGCCGCAGGCCGGCCGCUCCGUUCGCGGCGGCGGCUUCUGGCGGCGGCGGUCCGGCACACUGCCCGCGCCGGCGUCGGCGGCGGCGUCGCCGCCGCCAGCGGCGGCGCCGCUGGCGGUGGCUGCCGCAGACCCGUCCUUCCACACGGAGCCCAGCGGCCACGAGGCGAGCCGGCAGCUGUCUUUCCAGGGCGCCAGCGGCGCUGCCUGCAGCGCGGCCGGCGGCGCUACUGUGCAGCCGCUGCCCGACGCCGCCAGCAUCAUCCGCUCGCGUCUGUCCAACGACGCCGCCGCCGCCGCCGCCGCCAACACCAGCGGCGGUGCGCCCGCCAGCCCGACCACGGCGGCGGCGACGGAGCGCAUCGCCGCCACCAUCGCAAACCUGGCGGGCGCCGGCGCAGCCGGCGGCGCAGCCGCCGGCACCGGCGGCGCCGGCGGCGCCGCCGCCGCCAUGGAUCUGGAUCGCGCGGUGGCGGCGAUGCUUGCCAACCUGGCGGAGGCGCCGCAGCAGGUGCUGCGCCGCUACCGGCUGCUGCAGCUGACGCAGGGCGUGGACCUGCAGGACCUGCUGCGGGACCACCAGGAGCUGGCGGCGGCGGCGGCGGCGGUGGACGCGGCGGCAGCGGCGGCGGGGCUGCCGCCGGCGGCGGCAGCCGGCGGCGCAGCCGGCACAGCCGGCGCGGCCGGCGCCGGCGGCGCCGGCGCGUACGCGCCGGCACAGCCGCCGGCGGUGCUUGCGAGCGCGCUGCAGCGGGCGCGCUCGGACGCAGAAGGGCUGAUGCGCGGGGCGGUGGGGCAUGGCUGGGUGGACCGGUCCUCCCGCGCCGGCGGCGGCGGUGCCGCUGGCGCCGGCAGCGGCGCGCUGCAGGGCCAUGGCUCCUACCGCGUCGGCGGCGGAGGCGGCGACGCAUCCGCCCGCGCCGGCUCCGGCGGCGGCGGCGGCGGUGGUGGCGGCGGCGGCGGUGGUGGCGACGCGGCGGGCGGCAGCGCUUUCCUGGAGCACCGGGUCACGUGGCACGGCCGCGGGGGGCCCGCAAUGGCAGACACGGCGGUGCCGCUGGGCGCGUCGCCGCCAAGGGCGCUCACCGCCGGCGGCGACGGCAAUACUGGCAGCGGCGGCGGCGGCGGCGGCGGCGAUGGCCUGACGCCCGCCGCCACCGCCGUCGCCGCGGAGCUGAGCCCCUUCGCCUCGGUGGCCGCGGCGGCUGCGGCGGCGCCCUCCCCGGUGCCGGCGCCAGCCGCCUGCCACGACCUGCUCGCCUUCACGGCCCCCGUCAUGCCCACCUCGGCCUCGGAGGCGCAGCCAACGCCGGCCGGCGCAGCCAGCCCUAGCACCGCUGCUGCCGCUGCAGGCGCAGCCGCGUCGCCGUUUGCCGCCGCGGGGAUCCUGACGCCCGCCGCCAGCGGCACUCCCGCCAGCGCCGCGGAUGCGGGCGGCCGCACCCUGUCCCGCCAGCCCACCGGCACAGGCUUCGCCGCCGCUCCCGGCGCCGCCGCCACUGCCGCCGCCGCCGGAGGCGCCGGCGCCGGCGCCGCCAUGGCUGGGACGCUGCUGCGCGCGCUGUCGUCGCAGGCCGCCAGUGAGAGUGGCGAGGGCGUGUGCGGCGUGUGCUUUGACCAGCCCGACGUGCUGGCCGUGACGGGCUGCGGGCACCGGCUGUGCACGGACUGCAGCCGGGAGCUGUGCAAGCUCAACACCUUCAAGCCGGCGCUGUGCCCCUUCUGCCGCGGCCUCAUCGGCGGCUUCAAGCUGGUGAAGCAGUGAGCGGCGCGGCGGCUGGCAGAGGUUUGGGGGUGGGGGCGGAGGUGUAGGAGGUGUAGGUGGAGGCGGGGGUGGGAGCUGCAGGUGUUGGCUGGAAGAAGACGCGCGGCGACGUGCCGCGCGCGUUCAGAAAAGGGCUAGGGGGCCGUGGAGGUGGACGAAGUGGUGGUGGUGGUGGUGGUGGUGGGGCAGGGGCCGCGGAGGGAUGGGAUGCAGGAGCGCAGGAGGGGGUUCAGGGAGCAGCAGGGGGCGCGCCGCCAUUGCGGCUGCAGUACAGGCCUGGCAUGCACGUGCAUGACGUUAGGCAUAUCACAUGAUGGCAGACAUGCAGGCGGGCGGACAGAGCUGGGGUUGUGUGACUGGGCUUGUGGCCUCAGCGGGCCAGGCCGCAUCUGUUAGUCAGGGUGGGGCAAGGGGAAAGGUGAGGCGACCGGGGAGAAAGCAUGGCUGAGGCUGCUGCUGCUGUGGCGGUUGGGCACGCAACGGAUCCAAAUCCACACACGUGUGUAUGCAUAUGGCAGCUGAGGUCCCGGGGCAGGGGGUGAAUUUCUAUGCGUUUGGCGAUGCAGACCUGCUCUCCGUGCUGCUGCUCGCCCCUGCCCAUGCAUCAGUAUGUGUGACUUUCGUAGGCCAAGAGAGAUCGAGGCGUGCCACGCCGCGCAUUCAAUUAUUUUGCGGUUGCGGCCGUGUAUUUUGGGCUGAUUCUAACGGGCCUGUUUUGAUUUACGUUAUGCUAAUGCCGUGCAUUCCCGAGCGCUUCGCUCCAGAACAAGUACGAUGCAAGCCACUGUCGUUGUGGGUCGCGCUUCUGCUCUCGGCUUUCUAUUGCGUUUUGCAUAACUCGUGGGGGCCUCUGGUGCAGUCUGCCCUGGCAGAGCCGGUCCCGGCGCUCACAUUACAUAACGUGCUCCAGUUGCUUUGCCGGCGCACUGCAAACAGGCUUUUGCAAAAUUGCUGCGCUGUCUAGGCCACGAAGUGACGACGAAAGCAGACGGCUGCGUGUGUGGGACCCUGUGUUGAAACAUUAACGGAAGAAAACCGCCCAGAUGCCGGAGAUACUGGGGCCGUGUGUGAGUGCGUGUUUUGCAUUUGGGGUAUUAUCUUUGCGGGCACUGCCGCCGCCGCUGCCGCGCGGGCGGCAGCAGCUUGGCCUGGCUGUGUGGCGGCAGGGCCCUCCAGGGCUGCUCGGUGCGGGGGCAUGGCAUCCUGGGUUGCGGCGAGGCAGACACAUUCAGUGUGGGGGAGUGUAGCGCAGCACAGUGAGCGGUCUGUAGGCUGUGUGACGCGGCGCACGGCGUAAGUCGAGGCGGCGACGGAGGAUGCGCUGCGGGAGUUUGCGCCCAGUGCGCACCGUGACCAGCUGCGGUGAUGCGCAGAUAGAUGAUUGGGCAGAUGGCGGGUACAGGGAAUGGGGGGCUCCAGUGGCGUAUCGCACACGGGCGGCAAUGUUUGGAGCAUGCAGGAGGCGGAGGGACGAGGCAGGGACCGGCAUAACGACCUGUCGCAUUGCGUGCGACACAGCAUCAGAGCGCACCAAGAGGUGGCGCAUGGCGGAAGCAUGAGGGGAGGGGACGCUGCCUCCGUGUGAUUCAUGUAAGGUAGGCUGGAGCGCCCAGCGUGCGAAAUGGGCGGGAUUGCUGUACGCGGCUGGGCAGGUGUGGGGGCUGGACGCGCCUGCCCCUCCCGGCCCUGAUGGCCAGGGGUGCUGAUGGCCGCCCCAACCGGGGAUGGGCCGCGGUUCCAGACAUGCCCGCGCAGUGUCGAUAGCUACCCCAGCCACAUCUGAGCAGGUGUGAACACAGGUCGAGCCCCGAUGUGAGCAACCCGCCACGGCACAGCUCAACGCGGACCUGUCGGCUGUCGCAUACCCUGACUGCGGCAUCAUCAUGACGUCCCGGUGCUACCUCCCUGGGUGCUAGCUCAAGCCUACAACCCGCUGCAACCCUUAAAGCAUCUUCGAUAACCCGGUGUUUCCGCCUUGUUUGGCUCAGCCAGGCUCAGCACAGCCCAGGUCUCCCCACCCCAGCCCCUUGCAUGUAUGCUUAGUCCGGCUGGGGCUAUGUGUCAGCUUUCUAAGAGGGCGCAUGCACCAUGUCCGCCAUGGCCAUCCCACUCCUUCCCCGCCAGCUUUACCCUGUUCCACUGUCCGCCCUUCUUUGGGAACCCACGUGUCACACUGAUGAGUAACGGAGCGCGCUAAAGCUGACAAGCUGCCUGCUGCUGCGCUGGCUGCUGCAUCGUGGGAAGCCAACGGCCAGAGCUGUGAGUUCUGCUGCGCCCGACAGCUGGCACUUUGAUGCGAAGUCUGCUGCCAUGCAAAGCUGUAACCGCUGGCUUCAGAUCGUUGCAGUGCUGCACGACUGGCUGUUGCUGUGCAGUCCUGCCGCUGUUGCUGUAGCUGCGUAAGAGCACAUGCAAGCAGCAAUUGCGCAAACCCCGAACCCCAUCCGAAAGUCAGAGCCCCCACGCGCCAACACCGCAUGACAACACGCCCGACGAGUCAACCGGCCGCACGCGGGGACAGCAACACACGGGCACAACAUCGACGCACAAUUGGGGCAGCACCGCAAACGCCAACCGCGGCACGCCACGCUCACGCUUCAAUCACGCCCCGCUGCCCUUCUUCGGCACAACCCCACGCGGACCAGCGGGACGGCCCCUGGCCUGCUGCAGAGCGGCUGCUUCCCCAACCCCUGCUGCUGGCCGUGCUGGUGCAGGCGGCGUCGCUGCACGGGCCCAUGCAGCUCGCAGCGACCGCCGCCGUGAUGCGCUCACAGGUGGGGGGCACCGGCGCGUGAUGAACAGACACGACUGUCGCCGGCGGCAGCGCACCCGCGGCACAUGGCAGCGGGCGCGGCGGUCACACGGAGUAAACCGAGCCGCGGUGCCACACUCCGCCACGACCGCAAGCAGCACUUGCCGCCGCCGCCCACCUGCCGCCCAUGCGGCCGCCGCAUCGCGCGGCGCCGUGACGCCCUUGGCUGCGGCUGCUGCAGCUGCGCAAGCCCCUCUCCCUGUCCCUGCCCCCUCCGCUGCAGCGCUCGGAUCGAAGGCUACGGCUGUGACUGGCAGGAGCUGACUGGCGGUGCUGCGGGGCAGCAGGUUGCAAGUGCUGCGCCGCAACCGCGACCGCAGCUGGGCGCCGCCGUUGCAACUGCGGAAUAGCACACGGCCAAAUCAACUGCAUCCGCAUGCUGCAUGCCGCCACGGCGGCCAACUCGCACCACUGUCGCAGCACCACGCCGCCUGGACAUUGCUGCUGCCGCUGCAGAAGCCGCUGCGAUCCGAAGCCCCCGAGCCUGCGCGCGCUCGGAACGCCUGAGCUGCCGGCCGCCCGGCGCGGCCCUGCAGUGCACUGCGACUGUGGCGAGUUUCCUAUGCUGCCGCUGCUGCUGCCGCCACUGCUACAGCAGCCGCCCUGCAUCUGCGCAGCAGCCGCUGGCCGCCAGCACACGCCCGCCGCCAGUCCGCGCAUGGCUAGUGCACCCUCGCCCCCCCGGUGAUCAACCCAUGGCCCGCUGCUGCUGCUGCCGGUCCAGGCCCCCGUGGUCCCCGCUGAGCACCGCCGUGGCUGCUGUUGCUGCUUAAUGCGCCAGCGUCUCAAUCCCAGCCGCCUCGCCUGCCGCCGCCGUUGCUGCUGCCAUUGCGCCCAAGCACAACGGCCGCGCCGCGCGACUCAUCCGCCAGUGACUCAUCCCCAACCCCACGCCGAUUCCACGCAGCCGGCAGCCGCUCACGCUGCCGUGUAAGCUGCCCGGUGUCCGCACAACACCGCUCCCGACCACACACGAUGCAACGCCACGCACGACCGCACACACGCACCCAACACGCUCAAAACGCACCCACGCCGACGCCCGCCCGCACGCGUUCGUCCCCACCUUGGCUCGUCCAGGCCCCUCCACCUUGCCCCCUUACUCACCUUGUGAGACGAUACCCGCACAUGCACCACAGCCGCUCACGCUGCCGCUGCUACGAUAGCCAACUGCAAAUACUGCGCUAUUACACCUGCUGCUGAAUGUAAGCUGCGUCAGAGUAUUGCUGGUGCUGGUGCUGCUGCUGCUGGUACCGAGGCUGCUGCAAGACAGACACGCACACCCGCUGCUGCUGCUGCUGUCGUCCCCACGACGCGCUGCCAAACCCCAACACGACCACCGGCGGGACCUAGGGCUCGAGAAUUUUCUUAAUUUUUUGACGUUACACACGCGAACGUCGUCUUCCCGCAGGUGCAGCUCCGACUACUGUUCCUAGCUCCAAAGCGGCGGGGGUUGGGGCGGCCGGCCGCCCCCGGGGUCGGGCCAGCCCCCCCCGCCGCUGCUCCUGCGCCUCUCCACGCUUCCAGCUUCCAACCCCUGCGCGCGCCUGCGGCCGCUCGCCAGUCCCAAGGCUCCGAUGCUGCUGCUAGCUCCCGCCGAGGGCGCUUAGAACUUCAUCAGGUGCGGGCGGUCGCCGUCCUUCAGGGUGAAGCGGGUCGACAGGUAGCCCUUCAGGUCGGCCGACAGGGCCGGCAGCAGAGCGGCGUCCAGGGUCUUCUGGUUGGCGAUGUACUCCUGGCUGAGCACGUUCUUCUUCGCCUCCGACUGGUCGAAGAACUCCUUCUCGCCCUUCUUGCUCGACUUGCUCUCCACCGCCUUGAAGUAGCUGUCCGUGAACUUCGACAGGUCCAGCUUGGGCAGCGACACCUUGGUGCUGGUGCCAAUCACGUACGCGGCGUUGACGCGACGCACCGGCACACCGUUCAGCUUGAACGGGCCGGUAACGAGCAGCAGGCCCGAAGGCAGCUGGCCCAGGAAGAUGACACGCUUGCCCUUGAAGCGACCGGCCAGCAGAAUCAGCACGGUGCCUGGCGUGAUGCUGGCGCGCAGCUUGGUCUGCUUGUGCACAGCGUUGUGCGACAGAGGCUUGGGCACAUCAUCGGCGGGGUAAAAGCGGGGAGCCUUGCCCUCAGCCUGCUUGGCCACAGCCUUCUUGGCGGGCGCGGGGAACUUGCCGCCGUUCUUCUUCUUGAUCGCCCACAGACCCUUGCGCCUGCAGACAGAGAAGCGGCGGUCAGCAUUGCGGCGGCGCCCACACAGCCGAAGAGUGCGCUAUAACUACACAGGACGCUUCAACCUGCAAAGGUAUACAGGUAAACAUUGCGAGGGCCGCCGGCAACAAGCAACCCGCCGGAAAUGCGCUCACUUGUAGGUCUUGGCCCGGCCCUCAGCGGUGAUACCGCGGGCAACGAAAGUGGCGGGCUUGGCCAUGGUGCUACGUCCACCUGCUGAAAGAGAGAGAGUGGUGUUCGCCUGCCGCUGUGAAGGGUCUCGCGAGUCACAUUGCAUGGGGAAUGGGGGCGGCCGGCAUAGCCCACAUUUCCCAAUCCUAUGACGCUAAACUGGCUUUAUAUUAAUACCUUAAUACAAUAGUUGCGACAGUGAGGCUCUCUGAGGGCUAGUAGACCUAAUCGCGACCAGAUUUCUCCCGCAAGGCCGCUAUAGUAUCCGUUUACGCAUAGGACUAGCGUCAUGAGACGUAAUGGACUGUCGCCAAGCCAUCGUCCAGGACUUUCUGCGUCGGAAGCGGUUUCAGACACUCCCCAGCGUGUGCCUCCCCCACACGCCACUUGGCGGGCCGACGGCAACCGGUUCCUUUGCCCCUCUGCGCUGCAUUGCGAACAUGCCGGCGGCUGUACCUGCUCCCAGAGACUCACUCUUGGUUCAUGUGUGUGGGUGGGUUGCAGGGGUUGCAGGGACAGCAGGCUGUGAUGGCGCAGGCCGUUGCCUGGGGUCCCGCAACGGCAGUAGACAUCGACUGCAGGCCACCUACGCACAACAGCGCAGCCCAUCUCCUCUUGACAGGCUGGUAUCGCUGCUACGGUAGCCUUCUGCUGUGGCCAACUCAGCAUGCAAGAGCCUGGUCGCUGCAUCGGGGCUCAGGGUUACCCCGCGUGUGGCUGCAACGCUACCGUUCCGGGCUCGUGGCGCUAGCCCGACCGCGGCCUUCCCCUCCCCAGUGCAACCCUACACGCGCCCCCUUUCCGUCUGGCAGGAUGCUACGCAGCCCAUCACGCCUCACGCCCUGCGCCUUGGCUUCCCCAUGCAGGCAGCAGCGCUGCGCGCGGCAGGAUGGCUGGCGCCGGCGCCUCGCCGCCUUUGCAGCGCCCGCCUUUGCAGCGCCCGCCUUUGCAGCGCCCGCCUUUGCAGCGGCUUGCCAGGGCUGGGGCCUGCCAGGGCUGGGGCGGCGCCGCUGGGGCCACUCCCUCGCGCGCGGGCUGUCGCUGGCGCAGCGGCACCUGGCACAGGCACUGGCUGCGCGGGCACCGGUGCCGCAGACCGGGGCGGGCAGCGCGCGCAUGUGUGUGUGUGGGCCCCCACCGAGCGGCUGCCUGUGGGAGGCGGAUGCGGCCGGGUGUGCACGUGUGUUCAGACGGCAACGCCGGAGUAGCUGCGCCCACCGAGCUGCCCCCCGGGCGGCACGGUGCUCAUCGCGGGAUGCACGGCACACAGCAAGACACGCCGUACCGCACGACAUGCAGUACCGCACCGUGCCGGCCGAGCCCUAGCCCGGGAGCGGGACAUGCAACGCGGCGGUGGCUGCGGCGGCCUGGCGGCGGUGGCGCUAGGCAGCCUGGCGGGGAAGCCGCUGCGUUCUGUUCGUGCUCGCUGCGGCAUGAGGAUGACUGCGCCCGGUGGUUCUCACCGCCAUGCUCAACCUCGUGUCGCUCAUGCGCCUACGCUCAGUGCCUGUGGUGGUGCGCAGGCGCUUAGGGACGUGGGCAGGCGGGGAUCUUGGGCGGCGCUGGGAGAAGCUGCACGGGAGGCGGAGGGUAUGGCCACCCAUGGGCAUGGCAGGGCAGCUGGGGGCCGUUGCACCCGGCGCCAUUGCACCUGUGCCGGGCGCUGUCCAGCGUGCUGGUGUGGGCCCGGGAAAAGCCGCCAUUACACACACACACACACACACACACACACACACACACACACACACACACACACACACACACACACACACACACACGUGCAUUUGCCGUCAUGCAUGCGCCCAUGCCGUCCCCCGCCUGUUUACUUGCUCGUGGUCGCCCACCCUCCGUCUCUUUCCUAAAUCGCGCAACCCCUAGUAUAGUUAAUUGGGCUGGGACUGGGCUGCGUGUUUGCUCUUGCUCGUCGCGCGCCGCCGCGCUAACAUGUUCCUUCGCUCUUGUUCGUGACACUCCCCUGCUGCCGCCCUGUGCUCUGUUGUUUUCUUAUUCGCUCGUAGGUGAGAAUUUCAUCGAGGAUUGGGCGGGAGCUUGGACUUAGCGGCCAGGAGUAGCGACGCGGAGCUAGGAAUUGUAGGAGUGCUUGGGCCUCACGGUACCGUGAGCACAUGCAUGGGUUUGCACCCUUGAGAGCGUGUGGACACUAAUCCCCCCUCGAGGUUAGAGUAGCGGGGGUUGCGCGAUUUCCGGUUGGUAAGACCGGCGGCUCACCGCAGCAGGUAUGCGAGGUAACUUCAGGUAACAUCCGUAAACCGUCGCUUUGCUGCAUCGCAUACACUGUCUUUGCGCAACGUUUUCCUUGUGCUCUUUAACACACACACACACACACACUGCAUCGCAUACACUGUCUUUGCGCAUCGUUUUCCUUGUGCUCUUUAACACACACACACACACACACACACACACACACACAUUCACCGUCGCUUUGCUGCAUCGCAUACACUGUCUUUGCGCAACGUUUUCCUUGUGCUCUUUACACACAUUCACACACACAUUCAAACACACAUUCGUUUUUAGUGGCGAGUCUUUGCGCUUUGUUCUGGUGCUCUUUGAAAUACAGCGGCCCGCGCUCCAAACCUGCACGUGUGCCGCUGUCAGCUGUCCGCUAGCAACUUGCCGCGGACGCCGCCGUGUGUCCCUACUCCCUACACGGGCACGUGCUGAUUACCGUGCCGGGGAGGUGCGCUGAUCGUGCCCACCUACCCCGCCUACCCGCCCCGCUUGCCUCCACACCACGGGCGGCCGGGCGCUUGGCGAGCGGCCAGGUGCGGUGGCCUGCGGCCACCCUCCAUGAUGCCCUGCAUCAGUGCAUGCUAUGGCCUAAGGCGGCGCGCCGGGCUAGGGGCCCACCGUGGGGCUCACCCCAAGCUCACUCAGGUCUUAGGUGCUCGCCGCCUGUACGUGUUCCCGUGGUUGGCCUGCGGCCCUGCGGGCUACGGCCCCGCCCCCACAUGAAGCUCUUCACUUCCUCAGCCCCCCCCCAAAGUGCCACCGGGUGCCUUCAACACGGCAGCACCCCUGCCUUGCAAAGGACUCUGUGGUGAUGGAGUGACUGAGGGACUGGACCCGCGGACAAAAAGCGCUUUGGCUGGCAGCCAGUGCCUUCAGAGGUCCAGACCGUGGCUUGGUGUGUGUGGGGCACACGCUUGCGGCGUGAUGUUAAGGCUUGGAAGCUUGCGGAGUGCGUGGAGUGCGCCGCGCGGGGGCCUGGCUGAACCUAGCACUCCCAAUGUGGUAAACGCAGGUGGGUCGUGUCCAUCUGUCACCUCUGGCCUCCACUCUCAAACAUGUGCACAUAAUUAGCCUGCACGGCGUGGCUGAAAGGUACAUGGCCAUAAGCCCCCUGCAAGUUGGAGGGUGGGGGCUGGUUCGCAGGGCCGAGCCAGGUCCCGCUGCGCGCGUCGGCGCGUGCUUCCGACCCACACGCGACACGCAACCCAGCCUUGACCUGCGCUGACCCUGUGGCCAACUGUUGCGGCGGGGUCCCGCGGUUCAGUCACUGGGUGCUCAGGCUGAAAGCAAAUCGCUCCUAAUCAGUAAGCAUGAGGGUUCUCUCCUCGGCAUGUGUAGCGCUGAGAUGCUGGCAAGAACGCUGCCAAACGCAUGCAUUGCAGUUGCACGGCUUGCCUUUAACCCUCACCAAACUUCUUGCCUUCAUAGUUACGUGUGCAUAUAACUCCCUGAUUAGAGGAGCGGCCCAGGCUGUUUCCUGCUGCUUCGCUCCAGGACUCGAGCGCGCCAACUGCAGAGCCCAACCUCGCGAGCCAGGCAUGUCGUGUCUAUGGCCGUAGCAACCUUUACUCCAUUAUUCAGCUUUGUGUAAACGCCUGUAGCUGACUAAACGGCUAUCUCCGUGCUCCACGCGUGCAGGCCAGCAUGCCAGCGGGUGAGCGGCCCAACGCGGGCCCUGGUGGCGAUGCGUCCGCGGCUAAGGCGGCAUCUCAAGGAGGGCAGCAGCAACAGCAGACCACGCCGGUCCUGAGCUGGAACGGGGAUACGCAAGUGGCCAUGUUCAUCACGGUCCUGCUGCUCCUUAACCUGAUGAAAUGGGUAGGUUAAACUGUUCUUGAGCAGCCUCUGGGUGCUCAUGUGCAGCGUGCAAUUGUGGCGACAAGUUUGCUGCCGGGCCGCUGCGUCGGCCCUUCCCAUGUCCGCCACCUUCCGCUCCUCCCCCGUCUGCCCCGCUUUACAGGCCAUGACCCCGCCAUGCACUUGCUGAGCAGCAAGCAGCUGGCCGCGGCUGAUGCCUCGGCCGCAGCGCUGGCUGGCUCCCUGCCUGCGCCCCGCGGCUGCGCAGGCGAGCCACAGCAGCAGCAGCAGCGCAGCAGCAGCAGCAGCCGCGUGGCUGUACGAUUGCAAACUGUACCAUAAUCUGCUGCGCGCAGACGACCGAAGCAGCUCUACUGUUUAUAUUAUUAUCUGUGCCUCCUGGCACCUGCUUGUGGCGGGUCCUAUUGUGGCGCUGCUGCGUGUCCGGUGCGGGGGGGAGGGGGGCCGCGCGUGUGCUGCCAGUCGGUUGCACGAUGCCUGAUAGGUCCGCUGCUAAGGUUACUUGGCGCAGGGCUGCUGGGGGGUUACAGCGGAUGGUUAAGAUGGGCGGCCCGCGUGGGGCGGGGCAGGUGUGCCGCAGCCGCGCCGUCACCAGCCACCACCCGCAGCACCUGCGCUGGAGUACCCACGAGAGUGCGGGAAGAAAUGUUGUCAGUACCCAUGGUGUGAUUCUAACCGUUAUAUUGUAUUGGGUGUUGGGUGCCACCGUGUGCUGUCCAUUGUGCUGGUGUUCGCUGGCAGCACAGCCAAGAGGCAGCGUUGACAGAAUGACUGAGAGAUGCAUCCGUCGCACCCAGCAGUGACCCUUGACAGAUUACGUUCGAUGUGCUUUCCUCCGACACCUCCUUGUUACCUUAACUUGUUGCACAAUGACAGCGUGAGAUGCAUGCUGGAAAUGCAGGGACCGCAAAGCAAUGUUGGACUGUUGCAGUAGCGUAGGAGCAGGUAGAUGCACUGGCAUCGUAGUGUGAGGGCUCCUUACAUCCGGGUAUCGGCAGGUCACAGUUCUGGGUGUUGCAGCUGCUAGUAUGUAAUGCUACCAGAAUCACGUGCCGACUCGUCCACUUUCCGUGGGGAGCUCAAGGACUGGCCGUGGACGGAGUGCGUUCGGCUGAGAGCAGUGUUUGCAGCACGACAGCAGCAGGGCGGGUCAGGGGUCAAGGGUGCCCACAAGUGGCCCUCCGUGUACUAGUGUGUACUCCAGUGGCGAGGUCAGGGUGUGUGAGGCCGGAGCCUGAGUGCCUGACGCACAGCAAUAUGGGCAUAACGGUUAGCCCGCCCAACAGCCACUCCCAGCCCUCAACAGGCCACAAAGCCAGCAGUCUUCAUGCACGUGACCAACAUUCACGCAUGGAGAUGUACUUGUGUUGUGCCAUGUAAAACGCACGCGGCGAGCCGUUUGCGGCGCCAAUUGCAACGCACAUUGCAAACCUGUACAAGGAAGGCGAGGCUGGGGCCCCAAGCUAGCCCAACGCACACAAGAACGCACACACGAAACACGCCCGGCACAAACCGCUUAACCUAUUUCCGUUUCUGGCCCGACGUUCCUUUAGCGGGUUACACCUUAACUCAACCUGCCUUAUACCCUGUCCCAUCGCACGUUGCUUCGUUUUGCACGGUGGCCAUGUCCGCAGUGAGCCCGGACUGUAGGUCCGCCCCGCUCCGCCCGGCACUUGCCAACGGCUCCUUACCCGUGCCCACGCUCACUCCACACUCCACAUUUUGACUCCCCGCGCCUCAUACACACCUUGCUCACACGGCGUCAGCAGCGCCCACGCAUGCCUCCGACAAAAUUGGGCUCCGCGCUCGCGGCUCUGCUGCGUACAGCAAUGGCCCUGCGGCGUGCCUGACGCCGACAGCCAAUCCGAAACUGCACGCGCACAUCUCAUUUGGCACUUGAGCAAGCACCAUGCGACCCCGCAUUCGUUCAACCAGUCUUCCAAAUUGCACGCCUCAUAUUCCUCACCCCGCGCUUGGUUCACCCCAGUCCCCCAAGGCAUCGCGUGCCGCCCUUGCGGCGCCCGCCCUUGCGGGCCCCAGACCUUCAACACUCGGCCCCCACAGCACCCGGGCCCGCCCAACAGCCCCUCUGCAGCGGCAGGCCACUCGGCCGCCGCGCGCACACGCUCAAGCACACCUAUCUAGCUUCGCGCUUCGCUUCCUAACACCCCUUAGGUAUUACAACUACGUACCCGGGAGCAACCCACGGCCGUGCAGUCACACCGCCGUGAUUUCAUAGCACGUCCGACACUCCAACGCGCCACUACACAAACAGCAAACAACACCAAGUCCCAGUCCAACUCCUCUAUAUAGCAUGUAAAAAGAAGACGGCCGCUUCCCGGCAUUAACAACUCACGAGGGAAAAGGAUUUAGUGCUCAUCCCCUCAGCGCCAAGCUGCGGGCCGCAACCCAGCUGCUACUGAGGACCUCUUCAGCUGCAGAUCUCACAGCAGCUCAGCUUUGCGGAUCUCUCCAGCAGCAACUCAGCUGUGGGUCUUGAUCUCCUCCUCGCCCAGCAGCAGCUCAGCUGUUGAUCUUGAUCUCCUCCUCGCCCAGCAGCACCAGGCGCCGGAAGUGGCCCAGCGCCCAGAUGGGGAAGAUGUUGCUGCGGCGGCAGGGAGGGGAGGGAGGGGGGUUACAUUCAUGAUUAGUUAAGAAGUGGGGAAGGGGGGAAGGGAUGAAGGAGGAAGAGGGGUAAGAGUGGGCGUUGCAGGUUCAGGACGGAGGGGGGUUUACAAUCAUGACUAGCGAUGGGGUGCGGGGCUGGGCCAGGAAGGAGGGGCGGAGGCUGCGGGCGAGGGUCAAAUGACGUGGUCCCAUGCCCAGGGGCUCAGGCGGCCGGUUGAGGCACGAAAGGACGCAGGUGGGCAAGUGCGAGGGAUGGACUGUGGGUCGGAGCUCCCACUUAGCUGCGCGAAGCAAAUUGGGCCGGGCUGGGCUGGGCUGGGCCACACGGGUGGGCCUGGACCCGGGAGCUGAGCGGAGGUGCCGCCAGCCUCCCCCCUUCAUUAGUAAUCAUGAAUGUAACCCCCCUCGCCGGAGGCCCCCCCCGCUUGUGCGGGCCUGCCUGCCUGCCUGCCUGCCCGCCUGCCUGCCUGCCUGCCUGCCUGCCCGCCUCACCGGUAGUUGGCGUAGGUGAUCAUGCAGUUGCGGUUGAACACGCCGCUGAUGUGCUGCUGCGGCCAGUCGCCGCUGGGCUGCUGCAUGCGCAUCAGGAACACGGCGCCGCGCCGCAGCGGCUCCGGGUCCACCUGGGGCGAGGGGGGCGGGUGUGUGGGGGGCCGCGUGUGUGUAUGUGUUGACGAGGCCCGCCAAGGCGCUUUGUGCAUGUGCGUGUGUGUUGAGAUUACGCCUCUGCGGUGGCCGCCCCAGCUCAGCCCAACCCCACCUGUACGUGCCCCAUGCCCACCACCCCUCCCACCUACCGUCCCACCACCGUGCCACUGUCGCGCACAUGUUCAUGGCAGCGCUGUUCAUGUGUUGACGCUGCCGCCCGUGCCCCUAACACACAUGCCCUGAACCCCCACCCACCCACCCACACCCAACCACACAUCGACACACAAACACAAACACACUCGCCCCCUCCCCCUCACCUUGUGGUAUCCCACCGCCAUGAGCGCCAACAUGGCCCAGGCCGUGUUCACCACGUGGCUGUCCCCCUCCAGGUGGCUGUACACCUGGGGGGGUGUGAGAGUGUGUGUGUGUAUGGUUGUUCAAGGCACACGGAAAAACAAGCGCUCAGACUGAAUAUGCGAUGCAGCCACGGCAAACGAAACGAGUGACCCUGUGCACUUGAUAGUCUGUCGUGUGACCACCGCCCAUCCUAUGCCCUCCUCCCCCUCCUCCCUCCUCCCUCCCUCCUCCUCCCCCUCCUCCUCCCUCCCUCCUCCCCCUCCCGCCCCACCUUGUCCUGGCAGCUGAGGUAGCUCUCGCCCCAGCCGCCGUCCGCCCGCUGCUUGUCCGCCAGGAAGGCCGCGCACCGCCGCAGCGCCUCGUCGUUGGCGUACGUGUGCCCCAGCGCCGCCAGCCCAGUGGCGCCGAACCAGCAAGCGUAGGUGAAGCACACGCCCCAGGAGCCGUACCUGCGCAGGAGGAGGGAGGAGGCGGGGGAGGGGGGGAGAGGGGAGAGGGAGGGGUUGUUGAUACCAGCCCGAACUAAACCGAACCGCGCCAAAGUAGCGGAGCGCAGGCAGAGGCGGCAGUUGCGAGGGGGAGGGGAGGGAGGGGUUGUGUAUACCAGCCCAAGCUGGAACAAGGGAAUUCAGCGAAGCACAGGCGCAGGCACAGCACGGGGGGGUGGAGGUAAGGGAGUGUUGGUUGAAGACCAUUCACAGUACUGUGGGAAACCGGAGGCACGGGAAAUGCAGGACAAGACAAGACAGGCUAAACCCGUGGGUGUAGAGGUGUUGACGAAGAGUAGAACCCGGGAUAGCCGCCCUUGCACUCAUUCUGUUUGUUCCCUUCGACGCGGUCUCUCCAAACCUACCAGGAGCCGUCCUUGCGCUGGAUGGAGCGGAUGAAGGCCUCGGCCCGCUUGAGGGAGGCGGCGAUCUCCGCGGCCCGGUGGCCGGGGUGCUGCCUGUGUGUGUGUGCGUGUGGGGGGGGUGCGUGUGUAGGAGUGCGGGUGAGCAGGUGACGGAGCAGGCGCAGGUUGGGACAGGGUGGGAUCAGGACCCAGGACUCCGGCCCCAACACAUUCUACCAUGGACACACAUGCGCAACAUGCACACGUACGCACACACGUACACAGUCACACACUCGCACACACAGUCACACACAGUCACACAAUUCCGCACCCCUUCCCACACGCUCACUGCCCCCCACCCACCCCAUCCCCCGUUCUCUCACUUCCUGAAGCUGCACAGCGCGGUGAUGCAGGCGCUGGUGCACUCGACGUAGCUGUAGUCCACGAUGAUGUCGCCAAACGUCUCGGCGGGGUUCAGGAUCUGGGGGGGAGGAAGGGAUGGGGGGUGGUUGGGGGAGGGUUGCGGGUUGGGGGCGUGGAGGGGCCCCGGCAGGGGGCGGGGAUGGUUGGGGAGUUACAGCUAAGGUAAGGGGGGGCGGGCGGCUGGGGGAGUAGAACACCGCCCCACCGACACCCACAACCACACCCACACACGCACACGCACACGCACACCCCCCCCCCACACCCACACACACCCACACACAGACACGCCUAUGCUUUGCUGCAUCGCAUACACUGUCUUUGCGCUAUGUGUUCCACGUGCGCUAUGCUUUCCAUGUGCUAUUUAAACACCAACCUCUCCCCCCCCCCACCGCCCGCCCCGCCCCGCCCCGCCCCCACCUCCAGCCAGUGGAAGCUGCGCGUGUUCUCGUACGUGGCCAUGCCGCCGUCCCGGUUCUGGUAGCUCAGGAUGACGUUGACGCAGUCGUACAGCCGCUCGGGCGAGAUGGCGGGGCCCACCUGCGGGGGUUGGCGCGUGUGUGUAUUGUAGGUGUGGGUGUGCGAUGGGACAGUGGUAAGGCAGGUUGGUAAAGUCCCGUAGGUUGGGAGGUGAAGCACCCACCGCAUCCACCGGCCAGCCAGCCACCGCUCUACCCGCACGUGGCUUCCGGGGAAGUCAUCAGGGUUAACUUGAACAAUCUCUUACGCCCAAGAUCUUUAAUGACAUUACGCUCAACCCGCCCCCCCCCUCCCAGCCACCCCCACCCGCCCAUGCCGCCCCUCCCGCCACCAGCUCCUCCGGCAACAGCGCCAGUGUGAGCGCCGCCUUCAGUCCCUCGCACACAUAUGCACACACACACAACCAACCCGCUCCCCACAUUCCCUCCCACCCCCGCCCCCAAUCUCCCCCCUUUCUUCCCACCAGCUCCUCUGGCAGCAGCGCAAGCGUGAGCGCCGCCUUCAGUCCCUCGCUGGAGCAGUCGGAGAUGGGCCAGCCGUGGUCGCGCGAUGAGAAGGGCCAGGCGCCCUUGCUGAUGUGGCGGUAGUAGGCGGACAGCGGCGCCGCGGCCUCCUCAAUCACCUGUGCGCGGAGGGAGGGAGGGAGGGUGAGGGCGGAGGUGAGGGUGGAAGUGUGGGUGGAGGUGUGGGUGGAGGUGUGGGUGGAAGUGACCUCCACUAACAAAUACACUUUAACACUUCUCUACACACGCACACACAACCCACGUAGCAAGGAAGUGACUCCGGCGCCGUUUUGUUAUUGUAUCCUAACACACACCCUCCGCCGCCCCCCCUUCCGCACCUGGCUCUGCUCCACGUACUCGUGCGCCUUGCGCAGGCAGUGGCCCGACACCUGCAGCAGCCCGGCCUCGGCGAUGGCCUGCGCUCGUGCGAGUGAUAUUAUUGGAGGGAUCACAUUCAUAAGUAGUUAAGGAAAUGGUAGACGGUAGACCAUCUUGCGGAACAUGAAGCGUUCGGGGGGGGGCGGGUUGGGAUGGGAGAGAAAUGGGUUGCGUCUUGGCGUGUAGCACCAGCAAUCAAUACUGGAGCGGUGGGCUGCAACCCACAACAACUUGAGCCGGCCGCGAAGCAGCCCUUCCACGAAAAGCUACCUCCCUCUCACUCGGGAUUGGGAAAGCUACAACCCCCGCCCCAGUGCCCUCACUCCCUCACCCACCACCCAGCCUCCCCCUCCCCCUCCCCCUCCCCCUCCCCNNNNNNNNNNNNNNNNNNNNNNNNNNNNNNNNNNNNNNNNNNNNNNNNNNNNNNNNNNNNNNNNNNNNNNNNNNNNNNNNNNNNNNNNNNNNNNNNNNNNCCUCCCCCCCUCCCCCACCCUCCCCCCCUCCCUCCUGCCCGCACCUGCACUGCGAAGCUGGUGUCCCACAGUUGGCUGCCGUUGUAGCCCUGCAUCUUCAGCCCGUCCUCCGCCACCCACAGGUAGUCGUGCACACGGGGCAGGUGCCUGGCGGGUGGGUGGUGGGUGGUGGGGUUGGGGGGUGGGGGUGGGGGUGGGGGUGGAGGUUCGGAGAACUUUGACAUGAAGUGGUAGAGCGUGAGCAGCACUUGCAACGAUUGGAGGAGCGGGAGUGGGAGGGUGUGAGUUGGGAGGAGGAAGGGGAGUCGGAGUGCGGAGGAGGAAGGUGAAUGUGGUCAAUGGGGAAUGGGUGGUGUGUGCAGCGUGCGUGCCAGUGUGUGUCUCCUCCUCCUUCCUCCACCCCCCCUGCCCCCCCUCACUUCUGGAAGGCCUUGCCGCCGGGCUCCUCCAGCCAGCAGGCCAGCAUGUUGAUCACCUUGUUGACAGGCCCGAUGUCCACAUAGCGCGUGUUCUCGUCCUGCAGGCGGGUGCGUGCGUGCGUGUGCAUUUGUAUGUGUUAAAGAGCACAAGGAAAACAUUGCGCAAAGACAGUGUAUGCGAUGCAGCAAAGCGAUUUGUAUUGUGUGCGUGUGUUUGUACUUUCUAAAACAACGCGUGUGCGCGUGUGUUGUAGAGAGCAUAAGGGCUUAAAUUACGCCCGUCAUUGUCAUGGGUAGGUGUCGAAAACCACCACAGGGGGACAGUCAACCCCUCCUCCUCCCCCUCCACCUCCCCCCUCCUCCUCCCCCCACCCCCCUACCUCGUAGUGUAUGUGCUUCAUGCACUCGGCCAGCGCCGCCCGCCGCAGCCAACUGCCCUGCAGCACGUUCUCAGCCUUGUACAGCGCCCACCACAGGAUGUCCUGUCCGGGGUUGGGGUGUCACGGGUGGUGUAGGGGGUUACAUUCAUGCAUUAUAUAGGAUUAUAUAGAUGGGAAAAUAUGGCAAGGGAUCCUCAUUCGUCCACGGAGCACGUUGAGAUCUUCCUACACACGCACACACACACACACACACACACACACACGCACACGCACCUGCACCAGGGGGUGGGGGUAGUACAGGUCCUCCUUGGCGCACUGGUUGCGGGCGGCGUUCCAGUCGACCCGGCCGUACGGCAUGGGGUACAGCUCCUGCCUGCGGCGGCGUGGCAGGCCCACGGGGACAGAGGGCGGGUGUACCAGUGGCGGUGGGUUACAUUCAUGAUUAGUUAAGGAAGUGGUAGACGGUAGUAGGUGGGAGGGGAAAGGGAGCGCCGAGCCCAUGCGUGGGGGUCCUGUACAUGGAUGCGCGUGUAUAUCUACGUGCACUGUGCAUGGCACGCGCGCCGACCCCCACCGCCCCCCACUCCCAUCCCCAUCCCUCCCCACACACACGCACGCCCUCCCCACCUGAUGGCGGCGGUGAGCGGCGUCUCCUGGCACGUGCCGCGCUUGCCGUACACGUAGCUCAUGGGCAGGUACACCUGAGGAGCGGGGGAGGGGGGAGAAGCGGGUCGGGGGAGCGGGGGUUGGUGCCGGGGUUUGUGGGGCGUGUGUGAGCCGCCUGGUGGGUGAUCCGCACCACCCCUAGAGCUCAGGCCACUCGCCGCGAACCCGCCUCUUGCGCGCGCGCCCAGCCCCACGCCCAGCCCUUGACCCUGAGCCUAUCUUGAACCCCAACCCAGCAUCGCCACCAGCGCACAAACACACACACACACACACACACACGCAGCGCCACGCUUUGCUGCACCGCAUACACUGUCUUUGCGCAAUGUUUUCCUUGAGCUCUUUAACACAGCGCCACAGCCACACACGCACCAUGCGGCAGUGGCACCAGAAGCGGCCCGGGUGCAGCAUGCCGAUGCCCGUCCACUUGCUGGGGGGACAGGGCGGGGGAAGGGCAGGGGCGGGGGCACGGGGAAGGGGAGGGCAGGGAGGGCCGUCGGUGUGGUGCGGCCAGUGCCGGUGGCGCCAGGGGUCAGCUCGAAGGCAUGGCGGGUGGCGGGUUGGCGGGGUGGCACCGUGCCAGCAGCGGCGGCGGUUCUGGGGCGUGCCGCGGGGCCCCCUGCCGCGGGGUCCCCUGCCGCCACCCCCUGCCGCCGGUCGGUGCACCGCAGCUCCUGCCCCCGCCCAGGCACUGCCGCACCGCCACACCCCGCGCCGCCGCCAUCCUGGCAAGUCACUGCGCCGGGCCGUGAACCCUACCCGCCUCCCCCGAAGCCCACCCCCCGCAGCCCUCAGCCCCCCAAGGACUGAUGAUGGGUAGCCACCUCCACCCUCCCGCCCUCCUCGCCCUAUUGCAUUGGGUUCGGUUUAGCCCUGGUUAGGCUGGUAUCUACACCCCUCCUUCCUUCCUUCCCUCCCUCCCGCCUCCUCCCUUCCUCCUCCCCCUCCUCACUUGUGUGGCAGCAGCCACAUCUCGGGCGUGAGCGGGUUCAUGCCGUCCCAGCUGUACACGCCCAGCACCGCCAGCCAGAACUUGCCCCAGCUGGUUAUGUAGGUGGCACCGCCGCGGGCGUGCAUCUGGGGGCGGGAGAGGGGAAGGGGUUACAUACAUUCAUGAUUAAUUAAGAAGUGAAGGGGGAGGGGGAGGCAAUUCCAAACCCCAAAUGAAACCGAAGGGGCAUUGCGAGGUUUGGCGGGGGAGGAGAGGGGUUCCAGGCUUGACUAGUGAGAUGAAGACGGUGUUGGGGCAGCGCCGUGUUGCAGACGGGUCAAAAAUGUCCUUGUUGGGAAUGGCGCCGUUGGGAGUGUUGGUUGGGGACUGCAUUUGACUCUCCCCGCGCUUCCCAUCCUCCCCCACCUGCCGUCUAACGAGCGACCGGUAUGCCUAGAAGGCUGGAACCCUGUCCCCCUCUCUCCUCUCCCUCCCCCGAUUCCUUGACUAUGUGGACCAAUUUCGUUGGGCUCGGGCAAUUACCCCCCUCUCCGCCCUUUCCCCCUCCCCCUCCCCCGCUACCCCCUCCCCCGCUACCCCCUCCCCCGCUACCCCCUCCCCCGCUACCCCCUCCCCCGCUACCCCCUCCCCCUCCCCCCCAACCCCGCUACCCCCCACCCCACCCCACUCACCCACUCCCGCGCCUUGACGCACAGCGGCUCCUCCGCCGCCAGCCCCAGCAGCCGGGCCAUCACGUAGCUGAGGGUGGGGGUGCGGGUGGGAGGCGUGCACGGGGGGGGGCCGGUUGCUAGGAUGUUUAGAAAAGCAGUACAGGAUGCACUGGGGGGAGGUUACAUUCACGAUUAGCUAAGGAAGUGGUAGACGGUAGGGGAGGAGUCAAGGACCACCCUGCACCACCCUCCCUCUCCUGCCUACCCGGCAUUUCUCCCCCUCCCUUUCCCGCCACAGCUCCGGUUCUCGGUCUCGGAGCUGGGCAUCGACUACCCGCCCUGCUCCCCGCUUCCCCCACCGCACCCCUCAUGGUGUGGUGCGAGCAGCACCAGGCCCCUCCUCCCUUCUCUCCCCUUGCAUGGACGGCUGACUCCCCCCCUUAGGUUGAUCUGGGAUUGGGACAAGCUGCCCCUCAACCCCUCGGCCCUUCCCUCCUCGGUCCUCCCCCUGGUCUCCCCUCCUCUCCCCCAGUGUGACUCCGUUGUCAAGGCAUAGGCCACGCUCUCCUCCUCGCCCUUUUGCAUUGGGUUCGGUUUAGUUUGGGCUGGGAUCUACACACACACACACACACACACACGUCCUCCCUCCGCCUCCUUGCCUCCCCUCCUCUCUCCCCCUCCUCCCCCCCUCCCUUCUUAACUAAUCAUGAGUGUAACCCCCUUGCUGCUCACUUGAGGCCGGUGCCGAACAUGGUGCUGCCACCCUCAAUGUGCAGACCGAAGCCGCCGUCCUCGUUCUGGUGGUUGUGCAGGUAGCGCAGGGCCUCCUUCUUGUGAGCGGGGCUGAAGAUCUGGGGAACAGGCAGGAGGGAGGGGUUGCAAUCAUGAUUAAUGAGGAAGAAGCGACUUUGGAGCCGGGCACAUAAGUACAGCAGGCGCGUCGUUACGGGGGGGUGACAUUCAUGAUUAUUCAGGCAGUGGGAGGGAGGGGGGAGGGGGGAGAGGGAAGGACGGGGCAUGGCUGGGUUGGAGACGGCGGCGUGGAAAUGGUGCAGCUUUCCACGGAGAGGGGGGUUGUAGAUACCAGCCCAAACCAAAGUGAACCCAAUGCAACCGAGCGAGGAGGAGAGCGUGGGGGGAGGAGGGACGGUGACGGGUGGGGAAGGGGGAAGCUGCCCAUGCAGAAAUCCCCUCAAGUUCGGGGGCCUGCGGUGGUGUGGGCGAGGCGAGGUCGUGUAUGUGCGCGUAUGCAUAUGCGUGUGUGUAGGCGCCUGGGCGCGCCGCCAGCCCGCGGCACGGACACGCGUGUCAUGUCUGCCCGCCCUUCCGGGCUGGCCCCCGCACCUGUGCCCCGGCCCCUCCGAACCGCCCAGCCAAAAGGACUGGCCCUGAUGCAGACACCCUCACGUGCGACUUGCGCAUCACCACAGCCUGGCAAAACACCACACGCGACACGCCCUACCCACCGCGACACGCCCAGCCCACAGCCUGGCCCGACACAACACGCGACACGCGACACGCCCUGUCCUGCAUGCCGUGUCCUGCAUGCCGCAUUCCGCGCAGCCCCAGCCCCCAUGUCCGGUGUCGUUGUCCUCCCCCAGAGCCUCGCACCUCCUCACCUGCCCCGUUCCCACACACGCCUCGUCCCGGCCUAUGGCAUGCAGAUCGCGGCCCUUUCACGAGCCCUUGCUGCGUUUCAUGCCCAUGUGUGGCGCCCCCCUGCAAUGCCCGCACCCCCCUCCCCCCACACGCACACACGCGCACAGCACGUAACCAUGCCCCCCUCCCCGUCCCCCCUUCUGCCCUUGACUCACCCCUCCACACACGCACCUGGUCUAGCGCACCGCAGGUGUAGAGCGUGAUGACCAGGCCAGGCAGCAGAAACAUCGGGCCACCGUAAUCACCCGGAAAGUGGCCGUCCUCCUGCUGCAGGCACUCAUAGAAGCUGAUCGCACCCUUUAGAUGCUCCUCCACGCGCUCAGCGUCGGGCGCGUCAGGCACCGGGCCGGAUGGCGGGGAAUGCUUCUUGGCGCGAAUGCGGUCCGCGGACUGCAGGCGCAGCAGCUCAUCGCCCGAGUGGUGGUGUUUAUCUUUAUUGGCUGUGAACUCUUCGCGCAGACGCUCCGCCUCAGCGCGCUGCUCAGGGGUGCCUGCCGCUGGGUCAUACUCCCAAGUCUGGCGUCCUUUGUUCCCAUUCAGCGAGCGCAGCAGCGGACCGCCAGUUGUGCCGGCAGAAAUGAAUUUCCACAUGGCAGUCCACUAUUUAAGAAGCACUAGACGAAUGCGUUACAAGCCCCCGCGCUUCCUGGGCGCGCUGGUCGCCUCAAGCUCUGUAAGGAGUCAAUAUGGUAUCUCUUCGCGGUUUAGCCUUGGCAGGCCUGGGCGUGCGUAAGAGCACUUCGCUGGCAAAGAGGAGAAGUUGAUGGAACCCAGCUGGUCAGGUCUUAGCUCCCUAUCGCGCAGCAAAUGUAUUUCUAUGGCACCGUGGCGUGCACCAAUGUGUGUAAAAGUGAAGUGCAAGCUCCGCUGGGCGCGCGGGGAUCGCAGGGGUCGCGACCGGCAUGCGCGGGCAACCGUACCGGUACCGUGUGGGUAUGGGCGGCGUGUCCGGCCGUGUCAGGUCGCCGGGUGCAAUCGCUGCCGAAGGUGCCUUACUUUAGUAGCAAAUGUACUCCUUUGAUAAUCAACAUAGAAGCAUGCGCUAGGAGGGUGAGAACCUUGGGGAUGGCGAGUGAUGGUUGCAACCCGAGUGGUGGGUCAGCAACGGGGAGUCCCGGGUCUGCUGGCUACGUGGGCGGGGGGUGGCGGGGGCUGCGGCGUGCCUGUGGCCAGGUCGUCCCAGGUCCGCUGGAUGGCCCGGCCGGGUCUACUGGACUGGGCGAAUGGCCCGGCCGGGCGGCAUCAGGCAUGCUAGGCGGCCGGGCCGGGUCGGCAGGAUGGUUGCAGCAGCGUCUACACAAGCAACAGCAUUAACAUUACCCCAUGUAUGAGGAGUUACCUCGAUAUACAAGGAAGCACUUGGAUCAAAAGCCUAUCCGGUUCGGCUUCGGUCUGCUAGCGUGUCGACUGGCGCGCCCCAGCAUGUCCGUAGGCUCUUGAAUAGGCAGGCCUUCCCCUGCCUUGCAGCAUGCGCUUCUUUCCUAUUCUUUCUGCUAUCUUUUACACACCUUUACUAUCAGUCAAGACGCGUGAUGUGCGCACGGGUCGGGUCGCUGCGGUUGGAUGUCUGUGCUGGGGUUGCGGGUUCGGUCGCAAGGGUGCGGACUGCCUGGGGUCUGGGCGAGCAAUUCGGCAUGACUGGCCUGCUCUGCAGCCGGGGGGCAUGCCCUGCGAGGUCUGCCACAGUGCCACACUCACACGUGGGGUCGUACCGUAUACCCCGCCCGGUCGCUGCUUGUUCGCCUCGCAAUGACGCCCGGCUCACUCGAGACGUCUGGGCACUGAUGACAGCAGCAGGGGGGGGGGUAGGAAACAAAGUGCCAGACCCCAUGCCCCGAAAUCCCCCGGGCCCCCCCUUGAGGGGACGACCGACCCCCCGACGGACAAAACCUUGUUGUUCAGGGGUUAAAACCCCUCCAUUUUAUACCGAGCACGAGCGGUCCUGUUUUGAGACUUCGGUCACAGGCGGAAUCCUAUCCAUGGAAAUCCCCUCGACCCAGACCACCCCGCGCUCAACUCUCUGCCGCGUGACGGUUACACAGUGUGCAUCGGCAGCCUUGUUAGACGUGAACUCAUGCGCACCAGCGCUUCAGAGCCCAGCUGUGUCAGUGCGCAUGUGUUGAAUGUGGAGACAUGUCCAGACAUGUCCACGCCUGGACGCGCAACUUAGCCCUCCCACGCUUUGUUUGCGCUUAGUACGUCAUAACAUGCACAUAUGAGCCUCAUACUGCUGCGUUUGACCCCUAGUUCUGCUUGUGGGGCGCUUCCCGAAAUCCGCCAGGAUGGGCUCCCGAAACCCGACGGAGCCCCAACUUUUUGAGAAUGGAUCCCCCUUGUACCCAGGACGAGGACCGACCCCCCAACUUUGGCGGCCCAGAACUUCCUCACCAGACACCCCCUCAGAAAACAAGGGGUGUCAGCUUUGUACAGCUGGAAAAUGGGCUGAGCCCCUAGAGCAAGGGAUGUGACGAUGGGUACCGGCGAUAUACUGCGACAUAAACAGCACCCUUGCAAGCCCAGCGGGACUGGCAAAGGGGCAUACCAAAGGCACCGCCACGCCCUGUCCACGCCACUCCACACAUGAGCCCGUGAUACCUCAUUCCAAAUCCCUCACAAGCACCACAAACGGCUAGUGGGGCUCGGGCGCGUGAUCCGGGGCCGCGACAUAAUUAAGGCGGGAUCGGCACGCAUGGUUCGGCUGUUGCACAAACUUUCGACAUUCUUGCCCCAAGACGCUUGUCGUCGACAUGUUUUGAUACAUGGAUGUAAGAUAUUCAGGGCCCGAGAGCUAUACGGUACUCGCGGACUGAAGAAAGUCAAGAUGUCCAUGGACUCGCGAGGUCGCUUCUCGCUCCGGCAGGCAGGCAGGCAGGCACGGACAGGGGCAAUCCUGGGGGGCUUCGCCCCCCCUGGAUCGCUUCGCUCAGGGGGCUCAGCCCAACUAGAAGUACGUGCAUAAUGCUCCCCUAAAGCUCUGUAAUUUUGAGCAUGGGGUAAGAACCAGAGCUUUCUCCCCCCCCCCUGACAGCAGCGUGGGAAAGCCAUGCAACAAAGCGAGCCUCGGGUGGGACCAAAAGUCCAAAACCUCCUACCGCACCGUACUCACUCACAUUGUCUCACAUCAACCAACACGAGCCCCAGGCGCUGGCCGGUACCGCAGCAGGCAGCUUGGCGCAAACUCGUGCACAAUCGAGCGCCAGAACUGAUCAUCACGGCUGUGACCCUGUUGCCUGGUGUUGCUCAGUUCAUCAGGGGAAGGCGUGCACGCGAGGUGCGGGGCCGGGCGAGGUGCAGGGGUGCGGGGGUGCGGGGCACCCGCGGCGAGGUGUGUUGUCUGUCCACCUGUCCCAGCAACACGUCAGAGGCCACCGCACCAGCCACCAGAACAAAGGGCACCCCUCCGGGCACCCAAGAAAGCACGCGAAGCAACAACAAACUCACAGAACAGAGCAAGAAACAGACGAACCCAGCACCCAAACCCAACCCACCGCAAGUGCGCGCACAACAGAACGCAGGCACACCCGCACCCACACGCUAUAGAACGGGCCCUUGGACCCCAUACGGUACAGGCCAGGGCACACAGACAGCUGCCAACCGACCGCCACGCACGCCCACGCACAGAAACGAGCGGCCGCGCUCACUGGCCCAGCAACAAAGCUCAGACCAGAAGUUGCUCGGGAACCACCGCGGGCGCAAGACCAAACGCAGGGACACACACCACCACCACGUCGCAGACCGUGUCAUGUGCCCCACUCAGCCGGGGGCACCCAGACAGCGGUUUUCCGCCCACCCCGCGCGCCCACCUAUCCAAGCCAAGCAGCCGCGCGCAGUGACCCAGCAGACCAGGUGCCGCACAGGAACCACCGCAGGUGAACGACCCGCCCCAAACCACUAAAAGGGCCGCUCACAGAGCGCCCGAAAGAACUCCGCUUCCGUGCGCGUCGCGCCCUGUAGCGCCCUCCAACAGCUGCGGCGCCAGGCCCCGCGGGCACACAAGAGGUCCACAGUCCGCCACGCAGUCCCGCUCCCAGGUGCAGACCUCACCGCGGAGGGACCUCAGAACCAGCAGUGCAGCAGCAGAAGGCUGGGAGCGCAGUCCCCCCCUGCAAUUUGGUGUGCGGUGCCGGUCUGGCAAGGUUGUCACGUGCCAGUUGACCCAAUUGUUACGCGUGCGUGUCAGCGGGUGUCAGAAGGCCGUCAAGCUACAGGUUGCAGUGCUCGUAUCUUCCAUCUACACUGUAGAAAUCUGCCCAAAAUCCGCCGAAGGCGGAGAAAAAUUUUUGGGUUUGGGUGCCACGCAUCUACGCAGUGUAGACAGUUUUGGCCGGUUUUGGCGCAAAAAUGGGGGAAGCGUAGACGUUUUGGGGGGCUUGGGGGCUUAAGUGUAGAUGCCGCGGUCAGGGUCAUCUACGCAUGUGUAGAUGCCGGGUGCCUGAGGGCAUCUACAAGAUACGAGCACUGACAGGUUGCUGCCGCUUUGCUACCUGCAGGCUAGCUUGGGACACACAACCCAGCCGCUACACAACCUGGGUGGGGCGAGGCCCCGCAAGCAGCGGCUUUGUAUUAUUUUGGGGCAGUGCACGCUUGAAUGCACGUGCACGGCGGAAGUGAGUAAGCACCCGGUGACUCGGUAAGCCCCUUGUCCCGCGUUCUGGCCGUCUGGCGCCCUACUGUAGUGCCCCACACACGGAACGCCCGUCCCCUGCCAUCCGUCCGCGCAUGUCCUUCCCUAAUGACAGAUAGGCCUUCGGGCGCCCAGCCGUGAGUAAGAGACAAGAUUGUGGUUUCCCUCGCAUGGGAAAAGUGGGCUGCGCCCACGCCACGUCUCUAGUCUGAGGCCGCAAGCGUCUACCUCACCUCCCGGGUCAUAGUCGGGGUCGGUUAGGGUCGGUUCGUGCAGGCACAGCCCGCCAUGCGUCCAGCCACAGUCCGCUGCCAAGCAGCCAGCAAUACACAGGAAACCCCCUAGCCACAGCACUCCUCACUGCUGCGGCCUAUGCUCGCCAGCAAAGACCGCUAACCAGACUGAACCAGAACAGGUCCUCUGCGAAGACGAAAAGCCACAUUGGGCCCCUGAGAAACCGAAACGUCGCUGAUCGGCGAGCAGCCGACGGAGUUAGCAUGCACUGGAGUUGCGUAAGAUGUCGUGGCGAACAAAUAUAUCUUUGCCGGCUUUGAACGGCGCCCCGUGACCGGGAAAGUAUCGGCAAAGGGUCCCACCAGGCAGAGCAUAUUGUUGCUAGACAUGCCCAGCGGUUUUGUCAUGAUAUCGCAUAUCGUAAGAGCAGGGCCAAGUUUGCAAGCGACACCACGAGCAAAAAGCGGCGGCGACCAGCGAACUAGGGUUUAUAUUUUGGGCUUUGCAAUCGACACGGUCAACCAUGAAGCAUACGCUCGUGCCUAUGGGGGCUGCGCGUGCGCUCAAUUAGCAGUCGAACACGGAUAUCCCUCCUGUUCGCCGCUUAUGCGCCUCGUAGUGACGCCCGGCUCACAUUAUAAUUCCUGGGCAACGAUAAAAGCAGAUUAAUAAGUCCAAGCAACAAAUCGAGCAAAACCAAGCUGGUCCGUACACGCACAUGAAGUUACCACAUGGCUUGACAUUCGGUUGGCAGCAGACAGAACUCAACUCAAGAAAACCUGCAUUUUACACGCUAGAUUGGCACGGCCCACAAGAGGAGCCUGGCGAAACCUCCGAGACGUCUCCAAGCUACGUCCAAUCGGCGUGCGCUUCGUUCUCAAAGCAGGUAAGGCUCGCACAUGUUGCCUCAGACUGCAUGUAAAUGCUCCGAAGACCGGGCUGCCAUAAGUGGGGCGGCCACUGUUGUUGCGUUGAGAAGAACCCUGGCCGCCGAGUUUCAGCGUCCUCGGCGAAUGCGUCACGGACAGCGAUCUGGGGCGCCGAGGCUCGAUUGACACUGCAUUUGUGCAAUUUUGACCGCGUUCACGUGUCCUGCCCGCGCAGAACCGAACCAUGGCGUCCCUCGAAUUUUGGCCGGGGCCGUCGGGGCAAGACGGAUGCCACAUGUGCUCGGACGUGGAGAUGCAGGAUUACUUAUUCCAGCACGAACAAGACGGCAUGCUCGGCUUCGACCUGCCGCAUGUCGACGACGACAUUGGAAACGCGGACCCACUGCUGCUUGCGCCGAGUGGCGCCGGUUGCGGCCAGACGCCCGGCGCUGUCUACAACGUGUUGACACAGCUGCAGGCUGCGCCGCUGGGCUCGCUGGCCAUCGUAAAGCAGGAGCCGUCGGAAUCCUCACAUGGAAGCGCCGCGGGCUCGCCCAGCAACGACGGCCCGCUGUCCUCCAGCACGCCGCACCACCCCGCCCACCCCUCCAGCGCCUCGCUCUCCCCCUUCCACCCACAAGCACAGCACCACCACCACCACAGUCGCAACAACACGCUGCUGGGCAGCUGCGCUGCUGCGGGCGCCGGCUUCGGCUCCGGCAGCUAUGACAGCUCCUGCAGCGGCCCGACACUCGCGGCGCCCGCCGAGGUCGGCAGCGCCUCCGUGACUUUCUCCGCAACCGCCGUGCCCGCCGCCGCCACGGCACUCGCGGCCGCCAGCUCCCUGUCACAACAGCAGCAGCAACAACUGCAGCAGCAGUUACUGGCGUCUGGCAUGCCGCUCGUGUCCUUCUCCGCCAUCCCGCUGCCCGCCGGCCAGGAGCAGGCCGCCACCUGUGCACAGCAGGCACACCUGGCGGCGGCUGCGGCACCAUACAUCUCCGCCGCCACCGCAUCCAUGACCUCCAUGCUCAACAUCCCCAACCUGCACACCUACGCGCUCAGCAGUAGUACCCCUGCUGGCGCCGCCGAGACCGCCGCUGGCGCCUGUGCGAACGGCGAGUCGGGCUCGGCGAGCGGUGCGGCCCCCGCGUUUGAGCCGCACAUGGCCGUGACGGCUGCCCCCGCCGGCACCGCCGCCGGAGCGCCUGCCGUCAUCAUUACGCCGGCGCCCGCAUCCGCGCCAACCGCAAGCCUUGUGACGGACGUGUUCGCCUCACCCUUUGCGCAUGCCGGCAUGACGGCGCCGUCGGCGGCGCCGCCGCCACCGUCGCUGCUCGACGCCGCCGUCGCGGUCCAACAGCAGCUCGCCGCCGCCGCGGCCGCCGCCGCCGCCGCCGCCGCUGGCGGCGCCGCCGCCAUGCUGGCGACCUCCACGCCCUCCGCCGACGCCGACAACUUCGCCUUUGCCUUCAGCGGCGAUGACGAUGAUGAAGACCCCUCCUACGGCGCCUCUGCCAGCCUCGGCGGCAAGCGCGGCAGCUCGGCGGCGCCAUCCAAGGCCGCCAGCGGCGGCGGCGGCGGCGGCGGCGGCAACUGCCGGAAGCUGCCGCUGUCGCACUCGACGGUUGAGAAGCACCGCCGCGACCGCAUCAACCACCUCAUUGAGCAGCUUGGGGAGCUGGUGCCGGCCUGUGACCCACGCUACCGAGGCGCAGCAGCCGACGGCGAGGCCGCAGGUGGCGGCGGCGGCCUGAAGCGGCCCAAGCACGCCAUCCUGGCGGAUGCGGUGAUCCGCUACCGGCAGCUGCAGCAGGACAACGAGACACUGCGCCGCCAGCUGGCGGCGACGGCAGCGGCGGCCGCCGCCGCCGCGUCGGGCUUCAAGAACAUGCUCCAACAGCAGCAGCAGCAACAACAGCAGCAGACGGCGAGCGGCGACGGAACGUCAGCGGUGGCUGUGGCUGCGCUAACGGUUCCGUCAACGCUGCCUGCCGCCACUGCCUUCGCUGAGGCCGCGCCCGUGGCGGCGUCCAGUACGGCCGCCGCCAUGGCCACCUCACACUCGGCCGCGCCGUCCCUGCCCUCUUCACCCACGACGCCCGCAGCGGCGUCCGUCGCUGCGCCCAGCGGCGCCGCCGGCGCCGCCACGUCAGCGACGAUGCAGUCUCUGCUCGUCCAAGCCGCCGCCGCCGCCGCGGCGGUGGGAGCCGCAGCGUCCGGUCGCAACGGCGCCGCUGCCGCGCCGGCUCCGCCGCCGCCUGCCGGCAGCGCCCUUGUUCCCGCGGCGGCCGCCUCCCCUGCCACCGCCGCUACUGCUGCUACGGCUGCUACGGCUGCUGCUUCUGCCGGCCUGAACCUGCUGCACCUUCCCUUCAUCAAGGCCGCCGCCGCCGCGGCCGUAGCCGCCGCCGCGUCCGCUUCAGCCGCUGCCCACGGCAGCGCGCCUGCCGCCGCUCCCGCCGCCGGGAUGCCGCAGCUGCCGGCUGGCUUCGUGCCCGUUGGCCUGAGCACACACGGCGCCGUCAGCAACAGCAGCAUCGCCGCCGCCGCCACCGCCACCGCCGCCGCCGCCGCCACCGCCGCCCCACGCUGCCAGCAGGUCUCGGCAACGGCACCACCUGGAGCCGAGCCCAAGGUCCCGCAGCUACAGCCACAGCCACCGCAACGGCUACAGCCGCAGGCGAAGGUGCAGGCACAGCCGCAGCACCAGACGGCGGGUCUGGUGAUGGUGCCGGUCUGGACCGGCGCCGCGCCGGGCGCCGUGCCGCCGCCGCCCGUCGCCAUCGCGCCCGCGCCGCCGCCCGGCUCAUCAUGCACCCCCUGGUCCAGCUGUAGCCACCUAGUGGCAGGCGCCGCCUCAGCAGUGGCGGCCGCUUCCACCGAGCCCUCCUCGUGCGGCUCGGUGGAAGAGGACGCAGCCGCCGCCGCCGCCGCUGCGGCCGAAGUGGAGGCGGAGGCGUCCACCGAGGUGCGUGUGGGCCCAAACAGCAGCGCCUCAGCCUCCGGCUCAGCCUCAGGCUCAGCCUCGGGCUGUGCGGCUGGUGCCAUGACGGCGGCGGCGGCGGCCGCCGCGGCCGCGCCUGCGUUGCCGGUGCUGCCCCAGCCGGCGGCCGCGCCCACCGCCGACGCUGCGGCUGCGGCGGCUGCGGCUGCGGUGGCGGCGGCGGCGGCGGCCGCGGCGGCGGCUGCUUCAGUCUCUGACGCCGCCGCCACCUCCGCCGCUGGCGCCUCCUCGUCUUCCUGGCUGGUGCGCAUCGUGUGCCCGCCCCGCCGGGACCUGGCGGCGGCAGCCACCCGCGCGCUGACCGCCGCUGGCAUUCGCCUGCGCGGCGUUAACGUCAGGUGCGCGCGCGUGUGUGUGUGUGUGUGUGUGUGUGUGUGUGUGUGUGUGUGUGUGUGUGUGUGUGUGUGUGUAUGCGUGUGUGUGCUCUGUGACUCCGAAUGCCCCGAUAUCUCGGCACCGCGUCGUGAUUACCGGCUGUGUGUAAUAGCUGCUCCGUGCAUACUCGCCCCCGCUGUCAUGUGGCUACCUGGCUGUUCCACUAGCUGCCUGACGCCUACCACCUGACGCCUGACACCCCGUGACACCUUGCGUGUAUCCACACCCACACACCCAUUCCCCAUCCGCCACACACACACAGCCCCGCGCCCGGCCCCGGCCACCGCAUGGCUCUGGAGCUGGAGGUGGAGUGCGGCGAGGACGUCAUGCCGCGGGGGCAGCAGGUGGGGCCGCGGAGCGUGUGUGUGUGUGUGUGUGUGUGUGUGUGUGUGUGUGUGUGUGUGUGUGUGCGUGUGUGUGUGUGUGUGUGUGCGUGUGUGUGUGUGCGUGCGUGCGUGCGUGCGUGUGUGCGUGUGUGUGUGUGUGUGUGUGUGUGUGUGUGUGUGUGUGUGUGCUCGCAUGCGGAGUGAGAAGGCUCAUGUGCCAAGGGGCUCCACAGAAUCACAAACUUAUCGCAACGCUCAUGCUCCAUUGAACCACAGGUCGGUGCCAUCCAAUGCGCCAUCCACGCCGCGCUGGCGGAGGCCGCUGACGUCGAGAACGUCGACAGUGGCGACACCACCGCGGCGGCGGCGGCGGCGGCGGCGCACAACGCGCUCAGAGGCGUCAGCGGCGGCGGCGGCGGUCCCAAGCGGCUGAUCCACCAGGCGCCGGCAGCGCCGCCGGGGGGUGGCGCUCGCAAGCGCUCCCGGACCCAUCGCUAGACGCUACGCGCCGCGCCGCUACGCGCCGCUUCGGCACCCUGCGCGAGAGGGGACGCGGCGGUCAAGGCAGGCUGUCAGCUCAUCGGCCAUGCCGGGCGCACGGCGGGAUGUGGGUGCAGCACCAGACACGCCGUGCCGCGGACCUGGCGUUGGGCAAGACAGGGUAUGUGCCAGUGCGGCACGGAAUCCACGUUUCCAGCAAUCUAAUGACGACAUGCAGUCCUGCGCACGAAGAGCACGAAGCAAAGAGCACGUAACAAGCUACUCGGCGCAGCGGGCUUGCCUCGCUGCUUUGCAGAUGCGGUGAGGGCGACUUUCAGUUUGAGGCAGGCGGUAGUAUCGACUUGGCGGCUGUGCUGAUCAUUUCAUCGGCGCGGAGGUGGAUGGGCCGGAGGGGCACCAGCGGGUCAGGGGGUCGCACGGCUAUGUGGUGCGUGGCAGGCGGUUGGGUGUGGCGGUUCUGGCAACCCGCAUCCUAAGGUCGCCCUUCUGUUUCUUGGUAGGUACAUGCUUGUUGUUGGGUAGCGGACGGCGGCACCUGCAGUCGGGCAGAUCCGGUUUGUCCGCGGUGCCCAGGACUGCGGAUUGCGGAGGGGUUUGUGGGCAGGAUAAUGGCUUGGGUAGCGGUAGUAACGGAGGCCUCCUUGGGGUGAUACGACCAGAACACACCGCGCAUGAGGCAACCGCAUGACAGGUCAUGACCGGUCAUCAAGCGUCUGGACUGCUUAGCCGCUAGACAUUGAGAGGUAUUGAAGACAUACAUUACGUGCACAGCACGAGCACAGAUAAUAAUAGCCCGGGCAAACACCUUACAUCGCCGCUCACAGCUGUCCGACGCGGAGUGUUCUCCUGUUGUGGCUGCGCGGCGAUGAGAUUCUUUGUGUGUCGUGCGAGGGAGCAUGUGCGUCCUGUCCUUGGAGCGUAUGCAUGUUGAUCCAAUCUAGGAACCGUCGGUACGAAUGGGCUUGUAUGCUGUGGAUUGGACGGCGGAUGUAUUGGGUCAACUGCUAAGGGGAGUGUUAGGACGCUGGUGUUAGGGCACCUGUGCGAGCGCAGAAUGUUUCUGCGCCUGCGGGUGCUGUGUACGGUAAACUGGUUAAUCGCGGGAACUUCGUUGGGCUCUAAAACGCCACACGAUCGUCGUAUUGGCGGGGCGUUCGGCCGUGGGUUGCUUGUCCGUACGCUUUUUGGCGUCUGGCUUUACAGCAUGAGUGGGAAUUCAAUCUUGCAUUUCAGCAUGAGCGGUAGGAUGGGAGCAAGCACUUGGUGUGCAAUAGCUGUAUGUGUGUGUGUUUCGCUUUGGUGCUGCUGUGGGUAGCGUUCUGUGCAGUGUAGGUGCGUGCCGCAUGCAGCCAAUCGAGGUGGUUGGGAGCGGUUGCGCGCGUGAGAUGAAGAAAGCGUGCAGAUACGAAAAGGCUAGAGACCUGCGUGCAUCAUUCCAGCGCCUGGCAUUUGCUGUGCGCGUGAGGACCAACUGCUGCGUGUUCCAGUUUCGCGCAUUAUUCGAGACGAGCAAGUGCUCUGAGCUGUGGACUUAGGGUGUGAAUGCGAUGGGCGCUAGGACGCAAGAUGGCAUGAGCGUAAUGUUGCGCAUGCGUGCUCAAAGCUAUUAAAGCUAAUCAGUGUUGGUGGCAAGCUUCGACUGGCUUCGGCUGCUGCUGCCUGCUUCCUAUCACGCUGAGUAUUGUCAAUCUGUCGCACUGCUGGCACGCCCUGAAGCGUGUCCUGCAGGCUCACGCGCUAAUCAAUUGCAGCGCUGAGCAAAGCAUAAUAACGAAAGCACGGUUUCUGGGGUUCCCUGCUUACUGCUGGUUGUAGUAGCCGCUGCCGCUGGUGCUGGUGUUGCUAGUCGUGUUGGUGGUGGCGGCGGCGGCCGCUCCAUAGCGCCACCGGCUGAUGGAGUUGAUGCCCUUCAGCACACUGUUCCCGCGGUAUCGUCCAGGGUUUCUUCACGUGAUGAGGCGCUGAUACCAGGAUCUCUAGAUCCCACGUGGGCGAGUGUCCCUGCGUACCUUGGCCGCAGAGGGCAUCGGCACGGUGUAGGGCGCAUGGGGACUGCGGGCCGUAUUGACGUGGCUACUGUUGGGCUGCAUUGCUGGCGCCUGUUGCUGUGAACCUGUGGUAAUAUGACAGGAACAUUUGCCGGGUUUUCAACUCACUAGAAGCGGCCUGGCAUUUCAAGGUCAGCUAGGAGUUUCCCGGGGGUUUCAGUCCCCCGCACGCGCGUGUGCUAGCGGGGCUUGUGUUUAAUGCAUUGCUGAUGCUGCUGGUUACUGGCGGUGAUGAGGGUGCUAAAUGCGUUGCAGAAGUGGAAGAUGUCAGGUGGAGUGGGCUAGUGCUGCAUCUGCGGCUGGAAGUGGAUGACCGGUUGUGAGGCGGCAAAUUCAUCAUGUGUGCCCGGCACGGUUGCCCGGCGCCUAUGCGUUAUUAGCGCGCCCGGCUCGUUUCGGGACGGGAGUCACGGGAGUUUACUAGGCGGUGCCUAGUAGGCGCGUGCGUAGGCCGGCUCGUUUGCCUAGUGUCCGUGACAUACAUGUAGCGGUCACUAGGGAGAGGGGGCCAUUUGUGUUUUUAGCCGUCCUGCGGGGCAAGUUGUAGCAGGCGUAUGCGGGGCAGUGGGGGCAGUGACGCCCACGUCGUUGCGGCGCUAAUCUGUAAUGAAUGGUAGCAUUUUGCCAUUAGCAAGGCUGGCAUAAGGGCAGUUUGGGGAGUGGUUGGUUCAAGCAUGGUUCAAGCAUACGUUGUUGGUCGUGUCGUUGUCAUCGCUGUAAUUUGUAACCAGACAGUUAACCCGUGGCGCUCAUUCCUGUGCCGUGAUCCCGCACUCCAUGACAGUCUCUUUCCAGCCAGCCAGCAAUUUAUACAGUAACUACAGUAACUCGGCGUUCGACCAGCCGCGCACUCCUGCCCUGCCGUUGCAAGUUGUUUGCUAUCUGCUGGGGUCUGGGAAUCAGCUGCACCCUGCGCGACUUCACCAACCUGCCUUAACACUGUCCCAUCGCACGCCCAUGACACCCAAGGCCUCCGCACAACGCCAGUCCUCUCGCUCUGGGAUUCCCGUCGUGUUCCACAAUACAGCAUUCUCGGUGUUAGCAGCCCCUGCCAUCGCUGCGACAACGGGAGACUCAACCAACGUGUUCAGAUGUAGCAAUGAAAGCCCGCGGCUCCACGUCUCGUGCGCGGCUGUGCCAGCCAGUUCCGCAAUACCUAACAGGUCCCCGCCACGGGUCAGCGACACACCACCCAUCCUGCAAACGCAUACGGUAGAUUAGCCUCGGCAGCGCGCACACAUGCCACAUCCCCAACCCCAGCCUCGGCCUCGACCAGUGCCCCACUCCUCACGCUGCCCCACUCCUCACGCGCCCUACUUAUCCUCCUUGUCUUUAUCCUUCUUCCCCCUCCCGCCCCCUCCCCCUCCGCCUGCUCCACCCCCUCCCCCUCCCGCCGGCGCCGCGCCGCCCGCCCCUACACGCUGCCAGCUGCCUGCCCCGCUGUGCGCGUCCACCACGAACUCCUCCUCCACGUCCGUGAUGCGCAUGCCCGCCGGCGCGAAGCCGCUCAGCAGCGCCAGCAGGUCGCGCUCCACCGCCGCCACCUCGCCCGGGUCCACCUGCGGCGGCGGUGAGGCGCGGGGGUGAGGCGCGGGGUUGAGGGCAAUGGGGUUGAGGGUAAGGGGGAGGAAGGGCAAAGGCCAGGUUGAGGGCGAAGGGUCCGGGUUGAGGGUAAGAAUGCGUUAACGGAGGGCAAGGGUUGAGGGUAAGGGAGGGCAAGGGAGGGUAAGGGAGGGAAACGGAGGGCGGUGAUGGGAGCACGGGGUUGUCGUG
rnacentral:lncRNA from 1 species